rnacentral:lncRNA from 1 species
CUGCAUCUGCGUAACCAAACAGUUCUGAUUUGGAUUCAUUGGAAUAGAAUAAACCCAUGUCCAUGGUCCUUCGAAGAUAUCGAAGUAUGUGUUUAACACCAUUCCAAUGUCUUUUUGUUGGGGAGGAACUGAAUCUUGCCAGUAGACUUACUGCAAAACAGAUAUAUGGUCGAGUAUUGUUAGCAAGGUACAUUAGUGUCUCGAUCGCACUAAGAUAAGGAGUUUCAUCACCAAGAAGCUCUUCAUCAUUCUCUUGAGGUCGAAAUGGAUCUGUAUUGAUGUCAAGCGAUCUUACCACCAUUGGAGUACUCAAUGGAUGUGAGUUAUCCAUGUAAAAACACUUUAGUAUCUUUUCUGUGUACGUUGAUUGAUGAACAAGUAUUCCAUUUGACAAAUUCUCAAUCUGUAGGCCAAGACAAAAUUUUGUCUUGCCGAGAUCUUUCAUUUCAAAUUCUUUUUUCAGACACUCAACAACUUCUAAAAGCUCUUUAUGAGUGCCAAUGAUGUUCAAAUCAUCAAUAUACACAACUAUUAUUACAAAUUCAGACCCCGACCGUUUAAUGAAAAUGCAGGGACAAAUCGGGUCAUUUUUGUACCCUUUCUUUAACAAAUAUUCACUCAGACGAUUGUACCACAUCCUUCCUGAUUGUUUCAAUCCAUACAGAGAUUUCUGAAGUUUUAUUGAACAAGUUUCUCUUGAAUCUUUGUAUGCUUCAGGCACUUUGAAUGCUUCAGGAAUUUUCAUGAAAAUGUUAUGGUCCAAUGAGCCAUAUAGAUAGGCUGUGACAACGUCCAUUAGACGCAUUUCAAGUUUUUCAUGAAUAGUCAGAUUUAUGAGAUAUCUGAAGGUGAUUGCAUCUACCACUGGAGAAUAUGUCUCCAUAUAAUCAAUGCCAGGUCUUUGAGAAAAACCUUGAGCAAUGAGUCGAGCCUUAUAUCUCAUGACUUCACCUUUCUCAUUUCUUUUUCGUACAAAAACUCAUUUGUACCCCACUGGCUUGAUACCUUCAGGUGUUCGGAUUAUCGGUCCAAAAACUUCACGUUUUUCUAGUGAAGCCAAUUCAGCUUGAAUUGCAUCCUUCCAUUUUGGCCAAUCAUUUCUCUGUUUACAUUCGCGAACAGAUUUUGGCUCAAAAUCUUCAUCUUGUUGCAUUAUUUCAAUAGCAACAUUAUAGGCAAAUAUGUUGUCAAUCACAACAUUAUUUUGGUUCCACAACUUUCUUGUCGAGACAUAAUUCAUUGAAAUUUCAUUAUUUUCAGAAGUUCAAACCUCUUCAUCAUCAUGUGUUAUGACUUGGGUCUCAUCUUGAGAAAUUUCUUUCAACCCAUGAUCAUCUUGAUCAUUUAUUCCUUUUCUCUUUCGAGGAUUUUUAUCCUUGGAACCAAUCGGUCUACCACGCUUCAAAUGUGGUCUAGACUCAUUUUCCUUAACAAUUUGUCCCGUCGGGAUAUCAACUCGAACUGGAGCAUUAACAGCUGGAUUAUGCGAUUUAGUAAUCCUUGGAAGAUUAGUAAAUGCAUCUGGUAGCUGAUUUGCAAUGUUCUGCAAAUAAAUUAUUCUUUGAACUUCUUGCUCACAUUGGUUUGUUCGAGGAUCCAGAUGAGAUAGAGAUGAUGAAUUUCAAUCUAUCUCUUUUCCUAAUGACUUAUGUUCUCCCCCUAAUGUUGGGUAUACUGAUUCAUCAAAAUGAAAAUCAGCAAAUCUUGCCUUAAAUAAAUCUCCAGUCGUAGGCUCCAAAUAUUUUAUGAUUGAAGGAGAUUCAUAACCAACAUAUAUCCCCAACCUUCUUUGGGGCCCCAUCUUUGUGCGUUGUGGUGGAGCAAUUGGGACAUACACCGCACAUCCAAAAACUCUAAGAUGGGAAAUGUUUGGUUCUUGACCAAAAGUAAAUUGUAAUGGGGAGAAUUCAUGAUAAUUGGUCGGCCUUAUGCGCACAAGUGUUGCUGCAUGCAAAAUAGCAUGCCCCCACAUAGACACAGAUAACUUUGUUCUCAUUAGUAAUGGUCUAGCUAUUAAUUGCAGACGUUUAAUCAAUGAUUCUGCUAGACCAUUUUGAGUGUGAACAUGAGCAACUGGACGUUCAACUGUUAUACCAGUAGACAUACAAUAAUCAUUAAAUGCUUGAGAUGUAAACUCACCAGCAUUAUCUAGACGGAUUGUCUUUAUUGUUUAGUCUGGAAAUUGUGCUUUCAAUCUUAUUAUUUGAGCCAACAAUCUCGCAAAAGCCAUGUUGCGAGUUGAUAAUAAACACACAUGUGACCAUCUUGUAGAAGCAUCUAUCAAGACCAUAUAAUAUUUAAAGGGUCCACAUGCAGGUUGAAUUGGUCCACAUAUAUCACCCUGUAUACGUUCCAAAAACGCAAGAGAUUCAAUUCCAACCUUAACUGUUGAUGGUUUAAUGAUCAACUUUCCUUGAGAACAAGCAGCACAAGAGAAUUCCUUUGAUUGAAGAAUAUUUAGGCUCUUUAAGGUGUGCCCAUGUGAAUUCUCUAUUAUUUUGCGCAUCAUAUUAAAUCCGGGAUGGCCCAACCGGUCAUGCCAAAUGAUAAAAUCAUUAAAAUUAGUAAACCUUUUGUUUACUACGGCAUGUGAUUAAACUGUACUUAUACUUGUAUAGUACAACCUAGAAGAAAAUGCAGGUAAUUUUUCAUGCACAAUUUUCUUCUCUACAUUAAUUGUAGUAAUGUAAAGGUAUUCAACCUUUCCUUCAUUAGCCGUCUCAACAUGAUAGCCAUUUUGGCGAAUAACUUUGAAACUUAAUAAGUUUCUUUGAGACUUACUACAAUAUAAUGCAUUAUCAAUGCUUAAUAUUGUCCCUCCAGGUAGUAAUAAGGUCGCUCUUCCAGAGCCCUUAAUUAAUUUUGUACUACCUGAUAUUGUGUUGACAUAUGCCAUUCUCAUAACCAAAUUAGAAAAAUAUUUCUUUUCUUUUAAUAUUGUAUGCGUUGUAGCACUAUCAAGAAGGCAUACAUCUCCAUUACUCAUCUUGAAUCCAACCGACAACUGGGGAUUUCUAUUAAUUUUCAUUAAAAUAAAAUACAUCAAAAGAAGGAAGAAACAAAAUUAACAACGGAAAUUUAAAUACUUCAACAUUAAUAACAUAAUAAUUAAAAAUACAUAAGUAAAAUAUUAACAAAUUUCAUUCCCCAGCUAAAAGAUCAAACAUUAGUUUCGAUCUCCAAAGAAGUCAUCAACUUCCAUAUGAGUAAUGUCACCAAGGCCAUCAAAAACAUCAUCCUUUAAAGCCAAAUUUGCUUCAACAUCUUUAUCAUAUUUCUGAGAUGUUCCAGGCUUAUCACCAUCUUUAAGAGUCAUAUGUGACUCAGCUCGAGCAUUGGAAGAGGAAGCACCACUUUUAUUUCCUUUCUUUUUAAAGGAAUUUUGAUAGAGCCUUACAAAAUGUUCAUGCGUGCGACAUUCAUUCUUCCAAUGACCUUUCAUGCCACAACGACGACAAUUACUUUUUGAGGGGGUAUUUUGAGAACUCAUGAUGUUCUCCCUUUUAUUAUGACCACCACCUUGACGAUUAGGGUAUCGUAUUUUAUCUUUGCCACGUCCCCGUGCAUUAUUAUAUCCCCGAUGAUCAUCUCUUUUUACUUCAGAUUGAUCACGUGCUUCCACCACAUUUGCCUCCGGUAAUGGAGCAGCUCCAGUGGGACGAGCUUCAUGAUUUUUCAUUAAAAGAGCAUUAUGUUGCUCAGCCACCAAAAGACAUGAGAUUAGUUCAGAAUAUUUCUGAAAACCCUUUUCACGAUAUUGCUGCUGCAAUAUCACAUUCGAGGCAUGAAAAGUAGUAAGUGUCUUUUCCAACAUGUCCUCAUCUUUUAUAGUCUCCCCACAUAAUUUCAACUGGGAGGUUAUCCUGAAUACAGCAGAGUUGUAUUCAAUUACGGUCUUAAAAUCUUGAAACCGUAAAUGCAUCCACUCAUAACGAGCUCUUGGCAACACUGUUGCCUUUAGGUGGUCAUAUCUCCCCCUUUAAAUCAGUCCACAAUUCAAGUGGAUCUUUCACCGUCAGAUAUUCAAUCUUCAGGCCCUCAUCAAGAUGAUGAUGAAGGAAAAUCAUAGCCUUCGCCUUAUCUUGACUCGAUGCUUCAUUUCCCUGAGUAAUAGUGGCAUCAAGACCUUUAGCAGCCAAGUGAAUCUCAGCAUCGAGUACCCAUGAAAGAUAAUUCUUUCCAGAAAUAUCUAAUGCCACAAACUCAAGUUUGGAUAAGUUCGACAAAAUGAAAAUUAUGAGAGAAUAUGUGAAUUAAAUAAAAAUAUUUUUAUAGUACCUUUGCAAGUAACAAUCUCGUGUUGAUAACGUGUUGUAAAGAAAACUCAGAAUAUAAGAUGAAAAAGACAAGAAGUAUAAGAUAGAGGAGAUAAUUUUCUUAUUGAAGUAUGUCAUACAAUGGUGAAUGAUAUCUCUAUUUAUAGUGUUGAGAUAUCAUAGUCAAAGGUCACCUUGAAAUUUUACAUAGUUAUCAUCAAGGUUCAUAUCACCUUGAUAUCUUAUCACAUUGGAAACACUAAUACAUGAAUCCAAUUAAUUGUUGGAUAACUCUAAUAGAUCAUCCACAUAUACAAUGGAUUUACGACAAUAUAUAUAUUUGCUUUGUACAUUAAUAUUUUUUUUAAUAUUCUGUUCGUAUAAGUUAGAAAGAAAAUGAAAAAUGUUUCACUUAGCAAAUAGUCUUUUACUAAAACAGCAAUCUUAAUUGUUGUUAUUAGUCACUAUUAGCAUAAUUUUGACAAUUUAAUAAUAAGAGGUUGAAAUUGAUGCAUGGAACAUCAAACUUUCCCCUCUUGGACUGGCUUCCCUGCGCACUGAAUUUACUAAUAUCAACCAAUAACUCAGGCUCCACCAACAUUUUUCCUGCCAUCACUUUGAAUUGACCAGUAGGAGAUCCUUUAAUAGCCAACUUCAUUUUCCUCUAUUGGAGGCUCGCUCCAGACACUUAUAAUACACGAGAUAUAUAGAGGAUGAAAUUGGAUUAAAGGCGUUUUUGAUAUGAGACUGAAAGAUUAUGCGAGUAUUAACUAUUUUAUGUAGUAUAUUAUUUAGGCGUUAGUUCUAUAUCAUUUAAUUAUUUAUUUUAAUUUUUUAUCCUCGUAUAAAAUAAUAAUAUAAACUACCAAGCUAAGCAGGGCCCCCCCCCCUACCAUAACCAAGAAAUAUUGAGAAGGAAAAAAUCGACGCGAUGACACGUGGAAAAGAGACUUUAAUGUUGAAGGACACCUGUGAUUGUGUCAGGAUGACGUGGCCACGUUACUUGUGGGUCCCAAUGACUUAGUGUGGUCAUUUUCAUGCCAGCUGGGCUCGACUGCGGUUAAAAAACUCAAGGAUUGGGUGGCACAAAAUGUUCAAAUACGUGGGACCCAUUCUUGUUUUGACCCGACCCAUCAUGCCAAAAAUACUACUAUUACCGGUUACAUUUGAGAAUGUUUUUUUUUAUAAAAUUAUGACUACUUUUAAGUUUUAACAUCUUACACCCUCCUUGUUUUCUAGCAUACACUGGGAGUGGGACCAUGAAAUUAAAACACAAAAGAGAACCUCACUCAUAAUGUUUUCUAUACACUAUUGAUAAUCUUCAUAAAUUUUUGAUAUACUAAAUAAAAUUUAAUACAAACAAGAUAUUGAUAGUGUUAUAAAGUAAGUAUUUGAAUAUGUGAAUUUAUCUUAAAUUCUUUGAAAAGUUUAAUCUGAGUAUUUCAUGUUUUUUAAAUAAAAACGCUUGACAAAUUUAUAUUAAUAAAGAAAAUCAUUUUUAUCUACUGGUUAUUUAUUUAAUAUGUAAAUAAAAGUUAUAGCUGAUAUUAUUAUUUUUAUCAAUCUAUAAAUUAUUUAUAUAGAAUUUAACAAUUACUUUUAUCAAUUAAGUUUUAUAUUAUUUCAAAUCAACGUUUAUCAGAUAAGAGGCUCAUGUUAUUAAAGAAUAGCACACUAUAAUUUAUGUUUAAUCUUUUUUUAUUGAAUUAGAAUUUGAUAUUCUUUCGAGGACGUCCGAUAAAAAAAAUUAAAGUUCAAUUAAUAUAUAUUUUUUAAAAAUAACUUUAUGAUAGCAUAUUAUAUUUUUAUUAUGAAUUUCUGCUUAUUUAAUAAGAUUAUAUUUAAAGUUUGAGAUUUUUUAAAAUAUAAUUCUCAAAGUUUAUCGGGGGUGGGCAGGUUAUAUUUAUGAGCAAAUAUACUAUUUAAAAAAUAUGAAUUGCAUGCUAAAAAAAAUUCAAUCUCAUAUCGUAUAAUUUAGUAUCAUAAUUUCACAUCAUUUGGUUAAACGUCGCAUAAAUAUUGGUCAAUGAUAAGAUAAAGUAUAUGGACCAACUAAUAAAAAUGGUAAAUAAAUAAGUAAUUUUUUACACCGAAGACAUCCAAAGUAUAUGGACCAACUAAUAAAAAUGGUAAAUAAAUAAGUAAUUUUUUACACCGAAGACAUCCAAAGUAUAUGGACCAACUAAUAAAAAUGGUAAAUAAAUUAGUAAUUUUUUACACCGAAGACAUCCAAAGUAUAUGGACCAACUAAUAAAAAUGGUAAAUAAAUAAGUAAUUUUUUACACCGAAGACAUCCAAAGUAUAUGGACCAACUAAUAAAAAUGGUAAAUAAAUUAGUAAUUUUUUACACCGAAGACAUCCAAAGUAUAUGGACCAACUAAUAAAAAUGGUAAAUAAUUAAGUAAUUUUUUACACCAAAGACAUCCAAAGUAUAUGGACCAACUAAUAAAAAUGGUAAAUAAUUAAGUAAUUUUUUACACCAAAGACAUCCAAAGUAUAUGGACCAACUAAUAAAAAUGGUAAAUAAAUUAGUAAUUUUUUACACCAAAGACAUCCAACAUUGCUUAAUUCACACAACUUUUUCUUUUCCAGUCAAUCGACUAUAAACCUCAACUUUGACUCGAUCUGAUAUUUUUAUUUUAAAGUCGCAUAAUCAUCUUGAAAAAGAUUAUUUAAUAAUAAAAAGAUUAAUUAUAUCAUUUUUCAUUUAAUAUUGAUAAUUAUAUAAAAAAUUUCAAAUUUCUAAUUAAAAUUUAAAUUAAUAAAUUUUUAGAGUUAAUUAAAACUAAAACAAUCCUAUCAUUACCACACAAACUAUUAUAAAGUUCUAUCAUUAUUUUUUUUCAAACUUGAAUAUUAAUUCAAGUUGGAUUAGUGGAUAGUACUUGUGUCUCGUGAGUGAUUACGUGAAUCUUUGAUUGAUUGCUGGUGCUAUUUGUGGGUCCCAUCCCAGCUGGAAAUGAGUUUUAAAUAGAAUCAUUAGGUCAUACGCAAAAAUUAAAAAUUCCAUCCGUCCACAUUUGUUUGACACGUAUAUUAAAAAUAGAUAUGUAAAAUUAAUUGUUAAUUUAAACAGUUAAAAAAUAAUUUUUUUUUAUUUUUCUCUUAAUAUUGCUUAAUUCUGUUUAAUUAAAAAGUUAUGUAAACUUUUAAUAUUCUUAAUAUAUUAGGGUUAUAUUAAUUAAAUUACACCUUGUAUUAAAUUUUCCUUAACAUGACCUUACUUGAUAAAUAAUUAUGGACGGAGGGCGUAAAUAACAAACCCGACAGAUUAAAUUAUUUUAAAGUUAUAAUUUUUUAAUUAAUUCAAUUAAUGUAAGAUACAUUAAAAAAUUAAGUUUGGUAUCAUAUUCACACGUUAUUAUUUGAAAAUAUGAACCUAUCGUAAAAUUAGUUAUAUCUUAAUCAAACAAAAUGUAAAUUAAUAUUUUAAAUAUCUUAUGAAAUAAAAUUUCCGAAAAUCAUUUGGUACAGGAGAUAAAAAAAUUGAAAUACUAUUAUCAUAUACUUGAUUUAAGAAAUUAACACUCUUGAAAUUAUUUUCUCUUACUACCUAUACUUGGAAUAAUAAAAUUACUAUCACAUAUAAAAAAUAAAUAUAAAAGAUCUAAAUCCAAAAAAAUAUUUUUGAUUUAUGGAUGAGAAAGGAAAGAGAUUAAAAAAGGAAAAGGAAAAAGAAAAAAAACGGUAUACAAGUGAGAUUUGGUAUGCAAGUACAUGUGGGGUCUCUCUAAAGAUCCUUUAAUGUUUGCUUCUUUUUGGAACAGACGACGCGUCUUUUUUUGGUCAUUUUCCGCCGAAACAAAUUAUUUUUCAAAAUUCAAUUUAAAUUUUACUAAUUCUUAUAUUUAUAAAAUUACUUGUUAUAAUAAAUUAUAUUAUAGUAUAAAUUACAUCUAAAUUACAUUCUAUCCCUACUAAUUUUCAAUUUACAAAAAUCCCUUAAAAUAUCAUACCUAUCUUUUAGAUACAUUAUAUGUGAUUUAUUAUAAACAACUGUUUGUUGAGCUUAAAAAAGAACAAAUCAGGUAAAAAUUAUUUUUACUUAUCUUAAUUAAUGCGCCUAAAUGUAUUUUUACUUAUUUUAAUCUCGUUGAUUAACGCCUAACUGAUUCUUAAUAAGUUCAUAUCUCAAUAGGUAACAAAUUCACAAAUAUCAAAUCUCUAAUUUACAUCUUCUUCAUUGAACAACCAUUAAUCUCAAAAAAGUGAUAAUCUUAAAAAAUUUGAAGAAGUUGCUGAUAAAAAAGAUGAAUAUAUCAAUUUUGUUGAGAUCUUCAAAAAAAUUGGGGGAACGAGGUGAGUUAUGAAUGUUAUUAAAUUGAUGAAAUCUCUAAAAAAAUUUCAUUGUGCUUGGUAUAUUUGUAUUUUGUCCAAUCAAAAUUGAUAAGAUUCAAGCUAAAUAUUUUCAUCUUAUUGAGUCAGUCGGGAGUCUGAAAAAUUGAGAUUAGAUAUGAACGGUAUCAAAGUGAAAGUGAAGCAAAUGUAUAAGGAUAAAACAAUUUUGAUGGGUGCAAUGACAAAAUACAAAAUAAAACAUAAUUUCAAUUUUAAAUUAAAAAAUUUGUGAUUUUGUAGUAUGUGUUGUGUAUCAAAUCAUCUGCUACAUUAUGUGUUCGUAGAUAAAUAAUAAUACGAUUGUGCCAAUGCAACUUGCGUUGCAUCCAAAAGAAGCGAGUGGCGGUGGUGGGACUAAUAUCAAUUAUUAGAUGAUACUAUGAUUGUAUGAUGACGCAAAUUGUAGUUUAAUUAAUGGGUAGAAAAAUUCAUUCGAUGAAUUAAUUUAUAAUAAAUAGAUAUAAAUUGCAUUAGAUGAUGAAUUCAACUGAGAAAGAGAUCAAGUAGCCUCCUUUUUGAGAUAUCACAUUAGUCGCACGCUAACUAAGAAAGAUCAGGUGGAAUUAUAUAGAAUAUUUUUGAUAUAUCAACUCAGUCAUCUUUCAGUUUAAAAUGCUUAUUUAAUUUAUAUUUUUUUACAAUAAUUUUUCUCAUGAAAAUGUAUAAAUUGGACCCACCGAUUUUGAAAGAAAUGGUUUGAAACGACAUGUAUCACAUGCAAUGCUAUUCAUUUGCCAAACGUUACAGAGAAAAACUCUAUUGGCUAUAUUAAAUGUAACAAUUAUAUUCUAGAAGAAAGCUUUUGUAAUAUGAAUGUAAAUAAAUACUUAUGAAACCUGAAUGGAAGAUACUUUUGGCAAAAAGAAAAUAAACGUUUUAGAAAAGUGAAAGAGUCCAAAUGUAGGUAAUGCAUGCGUGUUGCCUACUUGGAUGUGUACAAAGCUGAGUCUACGCUGAGGCAUCACAACUCACACAAAUCCAAUUUUUGAUAGUAGAAAUUAAAGAAAAUUGACUACGUCAAUUACUUAGAUAAAAAUAGAACGUACGUUGUUAAUAUGUUAUCAGAGUUUGAUUCAUCUCAAUUCGCGUGUAUUAGGAGGAGACAUAUCACAUAUGUUUAUAUGAUGAAAUGAGUGAAUGGGGAAGGUGGACCAAACAUUCUUACUUUAGGGAAGGUCGAAUAGAAGGAAGUGAGGGUGGACCAAACAUAAUUUAGGUAUCAAGAACGAGGCAGUAUGAUUUAUACAACGAAAAGGAAAUAAAUGUGACAGGGAUCUAAAUUACCAGCUUAUUAUUAUUGUCACUCUCCUAACUGGUGGGGAUUCAUUUUUUUUUUAUAUGAGUUGUCCAAUUCUGUCACUGCCAUGGGACAAUGAUUUAGAUCAGACAGGAAAGGGUCAAAUAUAUCACUACUAGCUUAAAUAUAUCUUUCUUUAUAUUUCUUUUAUUAUACGUUUAGUUUAAAUAUAUUGAUAUAUGAGAAAUAACGUAAAGAAAUAGAUCGUAUAUACUCAAAUUGUUACGUAUUUUUUUAUAAUGUAUUGUAUUAUAUUGUAUGAUGUUAUAUUGUAUUGUAUUAUUUUAAUAAAUAUAAUAUUUAGAUAAAUUACAUUGUUCUUCAUCAUCAUAUAGGUCACAUAUCAAUAAUUUAAAUGAUAAAUCUACUAGAAAAAUAAAAUAUGGUAUGUUAAAGGAUAACAUAAGAUUAUUAUAUAAUAGGUAAAGACAAAUUAAGGAAAAAUAUAUUAAGAUAGUGACGUGACAAACCAAGCUAGCGUUUGACCUACUACAACAAAAAUAAUUUUUAACGACAAUAAAUAGACACAUUAAUGAAGAACAUUAAAGUUUUUAUCGACAUUAGUUAAAUGUCAUUAGAUUCAAUGUCGUUAAAUCCUUUAGGGACAUAUACAAAGAGUGUUAAUUACCGCUAAAAAUACAUAUUUAGUGAUAAUUGCUAAUUAAUUACCGCUAAAACUCAUUUUUGAUAUAAUGACCAAAGAUUUUCAAAUAUUCUUGACAAAUAUUAUUUGGAUGAAAAUUUAGAUGAAAUUUCACUAUGUAUUUGAUCGUAGUAUUUGAAAAACAUAUUUUAUUUUUAAUAGAAAAAUAUACUCAAAAGUUUUUAAAAUUAUCAAAACUAACCACAAAUUUGUAGUACAAGUCAAUUGGAUCUUCGUUGCUACAAAUAACAAGUAACGUUCAUGACAUUAAUUAGAGCAAUGUGGUAGUUUGGAGUGAGUGGAACGAUCAUCAUUUCAUAUAUCAUGAAAUAGACAAAGCACAUGACUUUGUAACUCUGAGCCGAUUGUUCAUCAUUUUCAUCAAUAACCAUAUCAUCAUUUUCAUAUUAACUUUAGAACGUUUCAUCACUAAUUUGGUUUACGUAAAAAAGUUAUGUAAUACAACAGAACAAUUACUAUAGAGGAUAUUUUUAUAAAAGAUAAAAUUUGACAUAAAAUUCAAUUUUUGAAAGAACCCAAAUAAUGAGAUUUGACCCAAAUAUUAAGGAAAAAAUAGUUAUUUUUGAGAAUUUGAGAUAUUUGCCAAGAAUAUUUGUCAAUUAAUCAUAAAUUGCAUGGACAAUCACUAUUUGUCAAUUUCUUUUCUCAAAUAUUACUUGAAAAAUCUAUGACCAAACGAGUCUCAAAUAAGUCGUUGCAUAAAAUAUUUUUUUUUGUGGUUACCUUACAAUGAAUUAAUUGUACUAUAUAAUUCUAUUGAAGAUAAAUAAUGUUAUAAGUAGUUAGCUAAUUAUUAAUAUUGUUAGGAUUUAGUUAAAGGUUAGUUAGAAAGUUUGUUACUAUUUCUUCUACUUGUAUAAAUAGUAUUCCUCCCACAUCGGGUGAGGAACAAUUGUUCAUUUUUCUUCAAUAUAAAAAUUCCCAAAUCUCUCAUCUCUCUCAAUCUUUACAUGGUAUCAGAGCUGUGAAUCAAUAGUUUUUUGAUUCAAUCUAAUAGUUCGAUUCUGAUUUUGAAGUCAAGCAGAAACAGAGCUUCAGUAGCUUGUAAUGGUGAUCGAAAGUGCAACGCCAGUGGCUCAAUCGUCUGCAUCAGUUCCUGCAGCAGAAACACUUGAGAUGGUAGAAUCAAAGAGAAAUCAUCCUCUUCAUCUUCAUCCUUCAGACACUCCUGGAUCUUUAUUGACUACAGUUCAACUUACUGGUUCAGAAAACUACUCUUUAUGGAGUAGAUCGAUGAUUAUAAACCUCCGAGCUAAGAGCAAGCUUGGUUUUGUGCUUGGAACAUGCAGAAAGAGUGAUUAUACGCCUAAGUUGGAAGAACAGUGGGAAAAAUGCAAUGCAUUUGUCUUAGCAUGGAUCAUGAAUACAAUUUCGAAAGAAUUGUUAAGUGGAAUUGUAUAUGCUUCAGAUGCUGCAAUGGUGUGGGAGGAUCUGAAGGAACGAUUUGAUAAGGUGGAUGGUUCUAGAGUGUAUCAACUUCAUAGGGACAUAUGUACAAUUCAUCAAGGUAACCUAACUGUUUCAGCCUAUUUUACCAAGUUAAGGUUGCUUUAGGAUGAAUUUGAUGCACUUGUUCCACCUCCUUCAUGUAAUUGUGAUAGAUCUAGAAUAUAUGUGGAUCAUAUGCAUUAUCUGCGAUUGUUUGCAUUUCUAAUGGACUUAAGUGAGAUCUAUGGCCCUGCACGAAGUCAGAUAUUAAUGAUGAAUCCUUUGCCAACUGUUGGCAAAGCAUAUGCCAUGAUAGUUUCAGAUGAAAAUCAAAGGAUCACUUCUGGCUUGCGAAAUGGAGGAGAUGUAAUUGAGGCCACAACAUUAUAUGCAAACAGAAGUGGUUAUGGUUAUAGAAACACAGAUCGUGGUAAUGGAGACAAAGGUGAAUAUAAUAGAAGUGGUUAUGGCUAUAGAAACACAGGUCGUGGUGAUGGAGAUAAAGGUUACAAUGGUAAGAAGAAAGUAAAUUGGAACUUAUUCUGUGUACACUGCAAGUUGCAUGGACACACUAAAAAUAUCUGUUAUAAGUUGGUAGGAUAUCCUGAAGAUUGGAAGUUCAAAAGGAAAUCAGAUACUGAAAUGACUGUAAACAAAGGAAAAGGCAUAGCAAAUAAUGUACAAGUUGAUAAAAAUGGUGAGGAAGAUGUGUUUGGAGUAGUUAAUGAAGGAGAUAAAAAUGAACAAGGAUCACAUGAUCUCAAUUCUGUUCGAACAAGCUUACAAGCACUGGCAAUGAAAUCGACAUACACUCCUGACCAAUAUCGAAAGAUAAUGAAGCUAUUGAAUAAAGAAAAGCAGGCUGAGGUCAACAUGGCAGGUAUUUCCAAUGAUUUUGAUUCUUUACUAGAAUGUGAUAGAAGAAGAAGUUAUGAUGAUGCUAUGAAUGCAAGUAAUGAACAUAAUAUCUUUAGCAAGAAAGGUCAUUGGAUAGUGGAUUCAGGAGCUACAUGUCACAUGACAUCUAAAUUUGAAAAUUUAGAUAAGAUUAGCAGAAACAACAAGAAUACAGAAAGAAAGGUUUAUCUGCCUAAUGGUCAAACUACAUUAGUGACACAAUCAGGAGCAUGCAUGAUAUCAGCUAAUCAAGAACUUGAAAAUGUUCUAGUUGUUCCUGAACUUAAACAUGAUCUAUUAUCAGUAUCCCAAUUAACAAGACAGUUAAAGUGUUCUGUUCAAUUCUUUCCUGAAUUCUGCAUAUUUCAGGACCUCUUCAAUGGAGAGGUGAAGGGGAUUGGUAAAGAAAAUGAUGGGUUAUGUUACUUUCCUAGAAAUUUGUCAGAAGAAAAGACAGUUACUGCAAAUGUUGAUGACAGAAGGUCCAUGAACAAGGCAAAUUCACAGUUUAUGAUAUGGCAUUACAGAAUGGGACAUCCUUCAUAUAAAGUCUUAAAGCAAUUGUAUCAAAGUGUUCCUGCAGGAGUAUGUGAUGAUUGCCCUAUAUGUCCAUUAGCCAAACAAACCAGGCUUACAUUUCCUAUGAGUAGCUCUAGAACUGAUGAUGUUUUUUAUCUGAUUCAUCUUGAUGUAUGGGGACCAUAUAGACAUACUACUCAUAAUGAUUUUAGAUUCUUUUUGACUUUUGUGGAUGAUAAUUCAAGGGUGACUUGGUUGUUUUUACUAAGACAUAAAAGUGAUGUGCUUGCUAUCUUGAAGUCCUUUUUUGUGUUAGUUAAAACUCAGUUUGAUAAGCAAAUCAAAAGAGUAAGAUUAGACAAUGGUACAGAGUUCUUUAACAAUGAAUGCAAAACAUUGUUUACUUCUUUAGGAAUUGUUCAUGAAAGUAGUUGUCCACACACUCCACAACAAAAUGGAGUGGUGGAAAGGAAGCAUAGACAUAUUCUUGAAGUGGCAAGGGCUCUUAGAUUUCAAGGGUCCAUUCCUAUUAAAUUUUGGGGUGAAUGUGUGUUAGCUGCUGUAUAUUUGAUCAACAGAAUGCCUACAAGUGUAUUACAGGGAAGGUCACCAUAUGAAGUCUUUUACAAGACUAAACCACAAUUAGAUCAUCUAAGAACAAUUGGAUGCUUAAGUUAUGCAACUAAAGCUGUUAAGGAAGAUAAGUUUUCUUCCAGAGUUGAUCAAUGUGUUAUGAUGGGUACUCUUUAACUCAGAAGGGAUAUAUGCUAUACAACCUGGCUCUAAGAAAGUUUAUUGUGAACAGAGAUGUAGUCUUCAAAGAACACAUAUUUCCAUUCAGUCAGCUGAAGGAUGAGAAUGUGAGAGUGUUCAUUGAACAACCAUUUUGUGACUAUGACAUUGCUGAAGUUCAUACACCAUUAGAUGUUGAGACUUCAGAUGAACAUGCUGAACAAACACUUGUUCCUACUGAGCAUGUUUCUGAGAAUAUUACUGAAGAGCAUGGUGAUGACAAUAUGGUUGAUGUGCCUAGUCCUGUGCCCAGAGUUUCUUCAAGAAUGUCUCAUCCACCCGUGUGGAUGAAGGAUUAUGUUACUCAUCUGACUAAUUCAAUCCAUCCUCAUUCUUUAGCCAACUAUAUGUCAUAUAGUCAUUUGUCUGGAUCUUAUCAGACAUAUUUGAGUACAAUGUCUGCAGAAGUUGAACCCAAAACAUAUGAAGAAGCUAUCCAAAAUCAAAGAUGGGUAGAAGCCAUGAAACAAGAGAUUAUUGCAUUAGAAGAUAAUAGUACAUGGGAGGUUGUGACUUUACCUUCAGGGAAACAUGCCAUAGGCUGUAAAUGGGUGUUUAAAAUAAAAUACAAAGCCACUGGAGAGAUUGACAGGUUUAAAGCUAGGCUUGUAGCUAAAGGAUACAGUCAAACUGAGGGAGUUGAUUAUCAGGAAACAUUUUCACCAGUUGUGAAAAUGGUUACUGUUAGAACUAUUAUUGCAAUUGCAGCUGCUGAAAAUUGGCAAAUAUUUCAGAUGGAUGUUUUCAAUGCCUUUUUACAAGGUGAUUUGGAUGAAGAAGUAUAUAUGGAACUUCCUAAAGGUUUCAUAAGCAAGGGGGAACAUAAAGUUUGUAAACUAAAAAAGUCAUUAUAUGGUCUCAAGCAAGCAUCUAGGCAAUGGAAUGUUAAGCUCACUGAUGCAUUAUUGAAUUCUGGAUACAUACAAAGUCAUUUGGAUUACUCCUUGUUUACAAAGAGGAAGAAGUCAGCACUAGUUAUUGUGUUUAUUUAUGUGGAUGAUUUGUUGAUUACUGGAAAUGAUUAUGCACUGAUACAGGAGACAAAGCAGGUUCUGCAUCUUCAUUUUAAAAUAAAGGAUUUGAGAGAAUUGAGGUACUUCUUGGGAAUAGAAUUCUGCAGAUCAGAACAAGGCAUAGUGAUGAAUCAAAGGAAAUAUGCAUUAGAGUUAAUUUCAGAAACAGGAUUAUCAGGAGCUAGACCAUCUUUAACACCUUUGGAGACAAAUAUGAAGCUUACAAGUGCUGAUUAUAUGCAAGAUGUCCAUGAUGAACUAUUUACUGAUAUAAACAAAUAUCAAAGGUUGAUUGGCAAACUACUAUACCUUACUAACAUAAGGCCUGAUAUUGCUUUCUCAGUUCAGUGUUUAAGUCAAUUCAUGCAAAAACCAACACUUUCUCACUGGAAUGCAACAUUGAAGGUGGUUAAAUAUGUUAAAACAGCACCAGGUCUGGGGAUACUCAUGAGCUCUGAUAAACAAGCACAGCUCACUAAUUUUUGUGAUGCAGACUGGGCUGCCUGUCCAAACACCAGAAGAUCAGUGACUGGCUAUCUCUUGAAGUAUGGGAAAUCUUUAAUAGCAUGGAAGUCUAAGAAACAAAAUACAGUUUCUAGAAGUUCUGCAGAAGCAGAAUAUAGAAGCUUAGCAACAUUAACAGCUGAAGUUGUUUGGGUGAACAACUUGUUCAAGGAAUUGGGAAUGAAUGUGCAUGAACCAGCUAUCAUACAUUGUGACAACAAAGCUGCUAUGCAAAUAGUAGCAAAUCCAGUUUUUCAUGAACGUACAAAACAUAUUGAGAUUGAUUGUCAUUUUAUCCGUGAAAGGUUACAACAAGGAUUGAUCAAGACAAGCUACAUCAAUACUAAGGAGCAGCAAGCAGAUUUGUUAACAAAGGCCUUAGGAAGAUCUCAACAUGACUUCUUAUUGGCCAAGCUAGGUGUAUUAAAUGUUUUCAAUACAUCUAGCUUGAGGGGUACUAUUGAAGAUAGAUAGUGUUAUAAGUAGUUAGCUAAUUAAGUGUAAUUAGUUUGUUAUUAAUAUUGUUAGGAUUUAGUUAAAAGUUAGUUAGAAAGUUUGUUACUAUUUCUUCUACUUGUAUAAAUAGUAUUCCUCCCACAUCGGGUGAGGAACAAUUGUUCAUUUUUCUUCAAUAUAAAAAUUCUCAAAUCUCUCAUCUCUCUCAAUCUUUACAAAUUCUAUCAAAUUUAAGCAUCAAUUAAAGCACAUAAUUUUUUAAAAAAAAUUAACAAUACAAUACAUUACAACACGUAGCAAUCAUCCAAAGUCCAAAAAAGGAACUAAUUAAAAUAAAAAUUUUAGAUACUUAUCAAUAUCACUGUCUAUGAAAAAUUAUAAUGAUAUUUCGUACAUCCUUAGAUUUUUUUAGUAAAAACAAAAGAUCGUACUAUUAUACGUGCAAUACACACCGUCGUAUACAAACUGGUGGAUAUUAAUAAGACAACUUAUGAUUAUACAAUUUCACUUGAAAUAAGGAAGGCAACGUUUAUACAAAUUAGAAAUUUCUAUUUGAGAAGACGUGUGCUAAUCUAAUAAAUUAGUACUCUCUGUCCAAAAUUGUUUGUCAUGUUUCGUUUAUCGAAAGUUAAUUUGAAUAAUUUUCAAAGGUAAUUAGAUCGCAUUAAUUUGAUAUUUUAAACAAAAAAAUAAAUAUUCCAAAACUAUAUGAAAAACACUAUAAAUUACAACUUUUUGUAUAUUAAUAUCAAGAAAAAGUAUAUCUUAAAAUAUUAGUCAAAAUUUAUAUAAUUUGACUCUAACUAUGACAAGUAAACCGGAUGGAGGGAGUAGUAAACUAGUAAUAGUUUUAAUUUCAUGUCCUUGGGUAAGAAUUUAGUAUUUACUCCUUUGCUUAUGUUUACUUAUUUAUUUAAUUUGACACAUCUUAUAAAUCGUCUCACUAAUUAGGAAAUAAAUAAAAACUUACUAAUAAAAAUAAAAUAGAUAUAAUGUGAUAAAUUAUUUUUUAAUUAUUUAAAUUAAACGAAUAAAUAUGAACAUUUAUUUUUAGUAUAUGAAAUAAGUAAAAGACUAUAUAAGCCCCUCCUAUUAAUUGAUGCGCUGGUGAGGUCGAUAGAAAGCAAAUCAUAGACAUAAUAAUCGAUUAGAAAAAUCCUAUAUAUAAUUUUUUUAUAAAAAAAUAAUUGUAGACAUCAUUAAAAUGACGUAUUGGUAAAACUUCACUUCUCAAACGUGUCUGCUGCUCAGGGUUUGUUAUUUUGAUGGACUGCUGGAAGUUGAGAACUUGACUUUGAGUUCAAGCUAACAUAUUUUGACAUUCAGAAAGUCGAUUUGCGGUCGUAAGUUGAAUUUAGUAAUUUUUACUUAAAUUAUAUAUUUAUAUUAAAAAUAUGUAUAAUUAUUUAAAAUAAUUUAGUAAAAUAUGAACUAAACCUGUGAACUUGGUUCUAAGAAACGUGUUAUUAGAUCAAAAAAAAUUUAUUUGUUUUUCUCAUAUUUAUUCUUCUGUCCUGUUAGAAUCAUUUGCCAAUUGUGUUUAAGUUUAAAUACUCUGCAUUCUUCGAAGUCGUGUUUUCCUAUAUUUAGUUUCGUCAAAAUGAGACACUAAAACUAGUAUUAUAAUAUUCCAUGUUUUUUUGCAACAAGUUGGAGAAAUUAUUAUUUAAUUUGCGUUGGGAAUCAAAUGAAAUAUAUAGUAAUUAUUAUUAUUAUUAUAAGAAGAGAGGGAAAGAGGUGGUUUUGAUACAAGUCAAAUUGGAAAGAUUGAGGAAAUCUCUUGGAAAUAAAAUACAAGGCCAUAUUAUUAUUAAUAUUAUGAACUCAUUGUGUAUGUAAUAGUAAAUUUAUACAUCACGUUAUAGUCGGUGCCUAACUCUUGAAUUAUUAUUAUUAUUUUAUUCUCUUAGUUAAUUAACACAUAUACUCUAUUGAUUCUGUAUUCCGUCUAGAACAAGAAAAUUAUGUAAACAAAAAAGGCACAUGAAAUGUCUGCAAUUAUUUGGUGGUUUAUGACUUAUGUGGCAAACAAACUACUUCUUUAUGGUACUAAUCAAAACGUUUCUCAAUUGAUUUGGUCAAACACAAAAUUUUCAAUUCUGUUUUUGGAAAAACAAUUUUUUCGAAGGUAGGCUGAACAUAUCCUAAGUAAGCCCAAUCCAUUUGCAACCAGGCUUAGACUAACAACAGAUCAAUUGACUAGCACUGGGGUGGAGAUAGCGAGGGCCUAGGCAUCAAUCUGUUGUUGGACUAACAACAGAUUUCCUAAGUAACCUCAAUCCUUUGAAAUCUCAGUCGUCACUCUUGCUUUUGUACAAAUAGAAAUGUACAAAUUACGUCUCUAUUUGUAUAAAGCGAGAGAAAAUUGUAUAUACAUAUGCAAAUAUGUAUAUCUUCGUCCUAUACACUUCUAAUUCUACAAUAUAAAUAUUAUCAUGUCCAGUUUUCUUUUGUCUUUUUUCUCUUACUCGCUUUAUACAAACACAAAUUAUAUGAAGUACAAUGUAUAAUUUAUGUUUGUAUAAAGCGAGAGAGAGAACGAUAUUUGAUCAAUAAAUGUUUUAUUUCAAUUCAAUUGUAUGCAAAUUCAAAUUUUACACAGAUUUGCAAACACACAAAAAUUGAAUUGAGAGGAAGUCAACGAUUUAUACAAAUGAGAGACUAACAGCAAUUUAUACAAAGUCAUUGAAAUUAUACAAAUCUGAAAAGGAGCUAGCGAAUUAUACAAUUGUUUCUUUUGUAUAUAUAUAUAUCGAAGUAGUCAUUGUCUUUUGUAUAUAUGUAUAGUGAAAUAACAUAACAAAGUUUGCUGUGACGUACAAUUAUGUAAAUUAUAGCUAUAACAUACGAAUAUAAUUUUUAAUUUUUGUGUGAAAGUUUGCUACAUCUUUUGUGGUGCAAACAUUUGGCUGCUACUCAUUUCAGGUGAAGCAUUCAGCUCUUCAUCCGAGCUAUUGCUUCGAGAAUCAACAGAGCUCAACAAGUCUUUUAGUGAGUGGUUAUUCAUGUUGGCUUCUCAAUUGAAAACAAAGACACAUUUUUUUAUUCGAACUUAAACCACUAAAUUGUAGGCAUUAAUAUUUGAUGUAACGAAAUAAAUUCUUGUCUAACUUAACCGCAAAAAUUAGCUUAUGAAGGUAGGAUUACAAAAAGAACGAAAGUCGUCUUAGUAUUGAACAUUGGACCUGCCCAGGACCAGAUGUUAAACACAACAUCUGAAAGACUAUUGAUGGUCUGUGUAGCACACCUGCCUUGCCAUUAGCGAAGCUACUGGGAGAGUACAAACAGCAUUAUAGCACAUUAGUUAACAAAUCCUCUUAUUUAUUUUUGGCAAAAUAGCCUGGUGAACCCUCGUACUUGUCAUCUAGACCUCUGUACCUAUCUAAAAUUAAAAUUUUAAACACUUUUUUUGAUGUGGCAUCGCGCAUGUUGCACAAACCACGUAGUUGGCCAAAAAUAAAAAAUAAUAAGCCACGUAUGAAAUCUACAUGGUAAAUCAGCCAACUAAGAAUAGUCCAAACCUCAGCGAAAUUUUGUAAAAAUUUUUGCGAAUUUUCCUCUUCUCUCUUCUCCUCUUCUCCUUUCUACGAUUUCUCCACUAAGAGUCGUUUGUGAUUUGCCAUAGAUUUUCUCGGUUGAAGCUCAGUUCCACUCCGACUAUCAUUGUAAGUUUUUGAACUUGUGUUAGUUUUCGUUUUUUUCACUUUCUUGUGCGUAUCUGUUUGAUAUUAUCAUUCAAUUUUCUGAAUUUCUUUUGAGAAUUUUACUUUGGUUUGGGGGUAAUGUUAGUGCUAUACACUUUCUCAGUUGAUUAAUGACUUCGAUUGACUUCAAUGGCAUAUUCCGUGAAUUCGAGUAGAUUUUAGAAUUUUUCCAUAAAAUUCCAAUUUCGACUAAAAUUAAUAUUCUAUUUUUGGUCAAUUGUCUUGGGUAUUGAUAAUGUUAGUGGUCCAUUAAACAACAAUUACAGUUAUGGUUUGUUAAUAGCUUUUCCGUCUAACUAUUACUGGUAUUUUCUUAAAAAAUUCAGGGCUUUUGUGUUACAGUCGUGGUAUGUUUACCCCUUUUAACUGUAGUUGUUUUUUAUGUUAAGUUUAUGCUUGUUUUUCCCUUUAAAAGUAGUUGUUUUUGUCUUCCUUGUCUUGAACUCGUUGAUGAAUUGUUGAUGUUGUAUUGUUCAUUAGCAUCAGCCCAUCAAAAAAAUCCACACACAUUACCGGUUGAAUAGUUUUGACAGCCCCAAAACAUUCUUCCAGGAUUAGUUGGUGUUCUUGAUGUCUUUAGUUCAGCAUAUAUUCCACAGUAGCAACAUCGAACUGUCAUCGUGAAUACCAACAAAAAUACAAUAAGAAUCAAAAAAAAAAAAGAGACAAGUAGAUUGAAGAAAAAAAAUUAAAAGAGAAUUUUUUACAGAGACAAAAUUGAGAAAAAAAGAAAGAAAAAAGCUCAAAAAGGCAUUAACAAUGGUGUUGAGUGAAUUAAAGAAGAAAUAUCCUUUAAAGGUCAAAAUAUGACUGUUAGUGCCUUUUUAAGGCAUCUCACGCUCUUCCUUCGCCUGAAUCACACGCUCCAUGUGGGUUAAUUCCACAUAGGAUGCCACAUCAAAGAAAAUGUUUAAAAUGUUGAUUUUGAAUAGGUUCAGGAUCUAAAUGACAAAAAACUAAGUAUGAGUAUUCAUAAUACAAUCCGAUAUAAGUACGAGGAUCCACCAGGCUAUUCUGUCUUUAUUUUUUUCUCAAAAAACUUGUUUAUCAUUAUAUGGUUGCCAGAAAUGAUUUCCCUGGCGUAUUCAGAAGGGAAAAGCCAAUAGAAGUAAGCAAAACAUAACUACAAUUAAAUUUACUACAUCUCUGUAGAAUUUCUACAUCUGCAUCAGAAGUCAGAACAUUACCAUUCCCCAUUUACCUGAAGAAAAAAAUUACCAAAAUUCUGAUGCAAAAUUGCAGUGGAAAAUAAGGUGAUUUAUAUCCUUCUAGUGCCUUUUGCACUCACGAAUAAUGUAUUUUCACUUCUAACCAACGAUAUCUACUGUACGUGCAUGACUAACAAGGUUGAGGUUGGGAAUUACCUGACUAAAAGCUUUUAUCCAUACUUAACCAAUUUUUGCAACCUGGUCAUACAAAUUAGCUAAGUUGAAAACAACUACACAACAUUAGCAGUCCCAACUGUUCAACAAAUCUAAUGUCAAAUCGGAAUCAUGAUGCAUGUUUUCCACAUUAUUAAUAACACAAAAGAGAUGCAUGUGAUUUACAAAGGAAACAUCAGGCAUUACACUUGACAUGAUCACCUAUGCAUCAAAUGAUAUCCCUCCCUACAAGUAGGUUGAAGUAAGCCAAGUGGAAACUUCAUACCAAAAGGUGGUUUAAGAUGACAUACUAGCUCUGAUCUCCAUUAUCCAGAAUAAAAAGAAAAGUUAAACAACAUAGUAGUAGCUUCAUACUAUAGCCGGUCCACUAAUUAGAACAUACAACACUAGCAAACCCUAGAGACCAGUGGAAUCUCUCACAAUUCAUAGACUCAUAGAAGACUCAUAAGCAUCCUUCAAAGGUCUCGGCACCAUUGGACUCGUCAAGCAUUCGAACAACUUGAGCCACACCAGCUGCAAGUUCCUUCUGAAUGGCACCAUCUGGCAUAUCAAAUGUUCUCCUCCUUGCAACAGAUAAAGGCCUUCCACCAGGUUGGGGGUCGAUAACAUCAAGCAUUGCUUCUAACUCGUCCACUAUGGAUUUCUUUGCAGAUCGGACCAUCAUAUCCACACCCUAAUACCAAAGGAAAGUAAAGAAUAAAUGUAUUUCUAGAACAGAAGGAAAACACAUAAAAGGGUCGAGACUGCUAAGGAUUUGCACAACACAUUGCAAGUAAAGAUAAAAUAUGCUAAUGAUUGCCAAGGAUAUAUGCAUACAUUUGAUGUUAUUGACAAACUAUGCAUAUGGAUUCAAUUAUAGAAAUAAAAUUAAAUCGAAGAUAUCAUUCCUGGGUUGCAGUAGGCAAUGUUUCAUGCAAAUCUAUCAAAAUAGAGUCUGAAAAAGUUUUUACCAGAAGUAUUUACAGAAGUGUUUAAGCUGGAGACAGAGGACUUGUGUUUCCCCACCUCAGUUCCAAGAAAGGCAGCAAGCAGCAUAGUAAUAAUAAACUGCAUUCUUAUGUUGCCUGUUCAGUUAGACAAUGCGAAGAAUGUACAUUCUAUGUUGCCAGCAAAAGAGAAGCACCAAGGUCUCAAGAUGUAUUUGUCCCAAAGGUCGUGGGUAUAAUUUUUCAUUGUUCAGAUCCAGACUUCAGAUUAAUGCCCCUCCUAUUUAAGACCCCCCAAACCCAACCGAGAACAAAAAAAUAAGAACAAAACAUAGAGAAGAAAAACUAAAAUGAGGGGCUGAAAGGCCAAUUCCUGUACUCAGAUCAUGCAACAACUACAAUCAUCUGAGAACUAUAGAUCCAAGAACUCAUAAAUGAUACUUUACCUACGAAAGUAGCAUUUCCAAGUAGCAAAUUUCUAGUACUCUAUCCAUUCAAAUUUAUAAGUCUUCAUAUUUUAUUUUGGGACAACUCAAAGUCUUUGACAAUACUAUUUUGGACAAUAUUCACAACUUACAAAUAUCCAAGUCCAUUUAACUAAUCAGAUCACAGAUUUGGUGUUCUUUUUCUAGUAUUACAUUAAUAUUUCCUUCAACUACCUCUUAUAUAAUAUACUAAAUGAAAUUAGCGUCUUAAACUUCAUAUGUUGUCACACAUCAUCAUAUCAUUUGGAAAAGAAAAAAGUUUUACUUUUGGUGCAAACGGCUAGCAACAAAGCAUAUUAUAAGAUCAAUAACAGGACAAGACAGUAACAGUUACUACUAUGUCUACCUCAAUGGCAUCAACAGUUAGUAGCAGCACAAUGAUCUUCUCAGAGAACCUCUGGCGCUCCUCAGCAUCACGAGCAACACGUCUACGAUAAGUGAAGUUGUUGAAGAGAGCCCUUAGCUCCUUCAACUUAGUCUUGGCAAUGGCCAGUUCUCUCAGAGCACGCAGUGCCUGAGACCUCUUAAUCAAGUAAGCCCUGAAGCUCAUUUGAAUCGCUAAAGCUGCAUCUUGUGGUGAUAGUUCCUUCCUCUUCCCCCUUCUCUUCUCCACCCUCUUUGCAAAUACCUACAGAUCAUAAACAAAAAAACGCAAAUUUCAAGAUUGUAACAAUGUCAUUUAAAGAACCAAAAUUAAUUACGAAAAUGUGGAAGCUGAACCUGUCUUAAGACGAGUGCGCCAUGAUGGGUUGGCUCUUCAAUCUCAACCAAGCGUGUACAACCCACAGAUUUCUUCUUCUUCUUCAUCUUAUCUUUCUUCUCUUUUUUCUGACUUUCAUCGCUAUCGCUAUCGGAAUCAGUGACAUUUGAUGCUUUGAAACUGUAACUACGUGAAUCGUCACCUUUUCCUUUGAUCUCAGCACUAAAUUUGUAGUUUUUAUCCAAAGCCCCUUUCUUCUUACCAUCUUUCACCUCAGCAAUCCACUUAUAUUUCCGAUCAACCCCAUCCUUCUCAGGGCUCUUAAUCUCAGCCGUCCACGUGUACUUCCGCUCCCCAAUUUUAUUCUUCUUCUUCUUCUCCGUCAACAUCCGCUCGAGCGCGGUGACUCGGUCAGAGAGACAUUGCAACUCAGUACCGAGUCCUAUCCGGUGCUGGACCCGGCGAGUAGUGCUGUAAAAAGGGGUUGUUUCGAUUUGGAUCAGAUCGGUAAUGGAAUCGAAAUUUUCUAGAUCGAGGAAGGUAUUGGGUGCAUAAGGCUUAGGGCAGAUGAGAUCGAGAGUGCAGUCAAGCUCAUCUUCAAUGUGGAAGUAUGGGUUUAGAAGUAGGGUUUUGGGGGUGAAAAAUGAAGGAGAAGAAGAGUAGUCGAUGAUGUCAAAUCUCCUGAAGCGGCUCAUUUUCGCUUGAAUCUAGCUAAACCAAAUGCUAAAAACUUGAAGAUGCAGAGGUUAAGUUGAGUUGGAGAAGAAGAAGUCAAUAAAAAGGAUAAUGGGAAAGUGACAGUAGGGGUAUUAUGGGUAACAAAUUUGUAGAUAACUUAGGUUGAUUGGUUAAAUCGCCGCGCACAGGAUGUGUGUUUUUACAAAUAUGGCCUUGAAAUGCGGCGUACAAAAUCAUAGACAAGAGAAUCUUCAGAUUGGGAAAGAAGAUGAGGUUAAAGCAUGUGGGGUUCUGGGCCAGCUGUUCAGUUGAAUUCAAAAAUUGAUGAACAGUGAAAUUUUAUCAACUGGAGUACGCUUUAAUCUUUUUUGAUUUUGCAAUUGUCUUUUUGGGAUAUUCCGAAUCAAUUCAAUUAAAUUUGAAUUCCAAAUCAAAAGUUUUAUAUUUUAGGAUACUAAAACUCUACAAAUAUCAAUAGAGAUUUAAAAAAAAAAACUUACUAAAUGUUAUUCAUCCGUCCGAUUUUAUUUAUCAUGAUUUCUAUUUUUAGAGUCAAAGUAUAAAAACUUUGACUAAUAUUUUAAAAUGUAUUUUUUUCGUAUAAUUAUAGAACAUCUAAUUUUUUUAUUUAAAAUAUCAAAUUAAUAUAAUAUAAUUUACCUUUAAAAAUUAAUUAAAUUAAUUUUCGAUAAAGCAUAAUAAUUAGGGAGCAUACUGAUUGAUUUAUUUUGCAUUAGUCAUUGCCAUGUGAAUUCUCGUAAUUUUCAAUAAGAUUUUGCACGUGGUAUAACAUUUUAAGUUGUGUCUUAUUUCAAUUAAGAAAUGGAGAUGGCGAAUUUAAUUUUCUCAUGUCAUCUGGCAUGGUCAAGGUAUGAUGGUCGGCCCAAUACUUAGCCCCUCCAACUUCCAAUUAAUUACAUAUAAAAUAUGCAUAUCAAAUAUUCUUCCUGUGAUAAGCGAAAUGUUAUAAUAAGUCGUUAUUAAUCGGUGAUGAUUUAUGUCACGUUGGAGCAAUCUCCUAUAUCUAAUCCAGUGAUGAUAAAUGGAUGGGUCGUUAAAUAUAAAUCGUAAACAACGUUAAAAUAGGUCAUAAUUUAUUCGCUCAUAUUUAAUAUGAAUAAUAAAUUGAUUAGAUAAUAUACUAAUUUAUCCAUAUUUUUAUGAAUAAAUAGUACUUAAGAAUUUAAUAUGGAAAAAAUAUUUUAAUCCUUUUUAAAUAAAAAAUAUUAAACAUCCUUCAUUUAAAUAUAUCGCAUCAUAAAAAUAAUUUUUCUUAUAACUUUUCAAUUUAAAUAAAUUUAUAUAAUAACAAGAUUAAGUAUUUUUAAUUUUAAAGAAAAUAAAUAUUUACCUUUUGGGACUAAUGAGUACUUUAUUAUAUGUUUUUUUCGUUUUUUUUUUUUAAUUCUAAUAGGCUAUUAGAGUGAACUUUUAUUUCCAACUAUCCCAUUAUACAUUUGCCAUCGGCCACACAGCAUCUCUGUUCACUAUCUUUUAUCAAGCUGAUUUACAAAUUUUGAAUUUUUCCUACCGAACUAAUUUUUAGAGGAUAAAAUUAAUUUCAUCAGUUAUAUUAUAUUAUAUCCUAAUCUUGCUACUACUCGCAAGAUAAUUUAUGCAUGUACCAUAUCCUAGGGAUAUAAUCGUACAAUUAACUGUCAUAGAAAAAUGAAGGAUAAGUAUGGAGCAAAUUAGAAUUACUGCUAUUAAAAGAUGGUGAAGGUUACAAAACUAUCCCCUACUAGACAAGUUCCCUCAAAUACCAAAUGCUUUACAAGUUAAAAAAAAUAAAAAAAAAUGCUCAGCAGUUAUCCAUAAUUUAGUUAGAAUAAGAUCCUCUUUUACAAAUAAAUCAUAUAUAAUAACAUUAGAAGUACGUCGCUAUCUACCUAUGACAAUUCAAAUUCAAAAUAAUAGAAGUAAUUGUAGCAGAUAGAUCAGCAAUUAAAUUUAAUAAAAAAAGUUGCUGAUUCUAAUGAUAACUAAGUAGGAACAAGAAAACCCGAAGGCUGAAUUACAAGAAAAGAAUCAUAAAAUCUCAGCAUAACAAAUCCCACGCAAACUGCACCCAUCAUCACCCCACACCCUAAUACUCCAAAAUACCUCCCAUUUAUAACAUUACCUUCACCAACUUCCUCAAUAUCUUUAACAGGUGAAUCCUCCGGAACGUCGUAAUUAACCGGAUCAGAAUCGCGCUCUACAGCCGCCUCUCCAUCAUCAUUGAUACACGACUGGCUACAAGAACAGACCGAAGCAGCAUCAUGAUCAUUCAUAUUAUUUCCGUCUAAUUGUUGCUGUGAGUGAAGAUCAAAGACGGUUUCAAGUUCGUUGAGUCUGCGACCAAUGUGGUACAAGUGUCGUGGCUUGGACGGGGACGAAGUGAUUUCUGCAGCCAACAGAUGAUUUAGAAAUUCAAGUUGCUGUUCAAUGGCGUGAGAGAGAAUCUCGUGGGUCGCGGAAUCCGGUGGGAACGUGAAGAGCAGAUGGAGAUCCGAUUCCAGUUUUUCCAAUUUCUUCCGCAGUAUUCCAUAUCUCUUCGUCAUUUCUUAAUUCAUACAAGUUUUUUUUCUUUAGUUUCUACUUGUAAAAAUAUUCAUCAUGGUCGCGACGGUUAAUUAAAAAAAACGGUUACUAAUUAUGAAAACCUCCCCUAUAACUACGGAUCAUUUAAUAUUUACUUCCCGCGUAAUUCCGAAAAACUAAUCGAGAGAAUUAAAUUACAUUAAUAACUAAAUCAUAGAAAAACUUGAAAUUAUAAAACUUUUAUCAAGUAUAAAUCAAAAUUAAUGGAGAAAAGUCAAUAAAAAUAGUCUUUUUAUUUCAUAUCAAGGCCUGUUUGGAAAGACACUCUAGCAAUUGAAUUUGGUGUAAUGAUAUAAUUACAUUAUCUUGUCCUGUUUGGAAGGAUAAAUAAUUACUUGGUCAGUAGAUAAUUGAUAUAAUUGACAGGGGAUAAUUACACUCCACAAUUCAAAGAGGGUGUGAAUUGCUGUAAUUACAUGAUUUAAUUAUCACCUGAUUACCUUUUUUUUUUUUUUUUUCAUUUCAAUUUUUAUUUUUUUUACUUCUAUUAUUUUAAGUUUUUUUUUUAUUAUUCUAAAAAUUUGUAAAAGUUUAUUUUUUAAUUUUAUAUUAUUAUAUUUUAUUUUCUUUUUGUUCUCAACCUUACUUUACGUGAUUCUAUGUAAUUUUUUCGUAUUAUCUAUUCACUUUCUGCCAUGCUAUUUUCUCAUUAGCCUAAUUUUAUUAAUAUUCUAAUUUUGAAUUAAAAUAGAAUUUAUUGUUAAGUAAGGUUAUAGACUUACUUUUUCUUUAUUAAGAAAAAAACAAAUAAAAAUCAUAUUUAUUGCUAUGUUGAUAUUUGUUAUAAGAGUAUUAUGUUAAAUUGUUUGUUUUGAAUUUAUAACUUCUUCUAUAUUUUCGGUUUCAUUUGUUUUAGGCCUCAUUUGUUUGCGCUUAAUGGAGGUCUGAAUCUUAAUCAUUCAGAUUUUUAGCCUAUUAAGUACGUUUGAUUUUUAGGUCUGAAUCAGAAUCAUUCAGAUUCAAGCCAUUAAGGUCAUUUGUUUUAUUUCAGACUCAUUUAAUAAGUUAUCAAAUGAUAAAUCAUCGUUUCUGCUUUAAGCGUGCCUUUUUAUCUCAUAACUAAAAACUUUCUCUCUCUUUUCUCAAUCAAACACCAUUUUUUUCCUCUUGAACUGGUAAGUUUUCAUAAAUCAGUUCUUUUUUAUAUUAAUAAUUUUCUUGUAUUGACUUGUCAAGAACACUGUUGGUGUAUUGGCUUUAUCAAGAUUUUUGAAUGAAAAAAAAUUGUACUUUCAAAUCAUGAUUAUUAAAAAUUUUAAUUUUUUUUAUCAAAAGCGAUAUAUUUUGUUAAAAUGAAAUUUUAUGAUAUUUUAUUAAUUUAAUGUUAAUUUCACAGAUAUUGAAAACAAGCAGUAUUAAUUAUUUAGUGUUCAGUUUUAGAAACCACAUAUUAAUAUUGAAAUGUGUAUUCAGAUCAAAACACUUGAAUCUUAAUGCAAAUCUUACUAUUCAGAUGUAUAUUCAGAUUUAGACCUCUUAAACUUAACGGAAACAAAUGAGGCCUUAAUAAUGUUGAAUUUACAUUGAACGUCAUUUUUUAAUUGACUUGAUAGAUUAUAUUUUUGUCAAACAUUUAAUAAUUUAUGUUUCACGAUGUUCGUAGAAACUUCAUACUUUUAGUUGUUACGAUCAAUUCGAUUGAAAUAUAUUAAUUUGAAAAAAAUAUAAAAUCAAUUAUUUAUUCAUAAUAUUAGUUACAGAAAAUAUGUUUAUUAAUUAAUAUAGUUUUAAAAAAGAAUAUAUAUCUUAAAUAUUUAGUUUAAUGUGUAAAGUUUCUUAUUUGUCUAGUAUAAAUUUAAAAUAAUGAAUUUUCAUUUUUAAAAUUUAUUAUAAUUUUAUUAUUGCAAUUGUGCAUCAAAAUAGAACAUGUGUAAUUACACUUUGCCAUCCAAACAUGACAUGUGUAAUUACACUGUGACAAUAAAAUAUGUCAGUAUAAUUACUAGGCUGAUAAUUACUACUCUAAUAAUUAUACCAAUUCUAAUUACCAAGUGAUUUUUCAAACAGAUCCAAGUUAAUUAUCGAGACUUUCAUAAUUCAAAAUAAUUGAAUGUUUUCUGAAAGUUCAACCUAAUUAUUGAAACUUUUUUUUUCUUUCAUAGUUACCUUUUCUAUUAUUAAGAUUCGUAACUAUUUAAAAUUUUCUAAAAGACUAGUUGAGAAAUCAUCAAAAGUAUAAUAGUGAAUAGUAUUCUUCGAUUUUAUCUUUAUAAAAAAAUAUUGUGCUUAUAUAUAAAAACUCAGCUAUUGAGGAUCAACCUCAGACCUCAAAAGUUAUAAAUUCGCACGCUCACCUAUUUUUAUUGUGUCUGAGAGUGUUAAAUUUAUUAUAUUUUCAAAUAUUAGAUAAUAUAUAAUAUUUAAUUUAUAUACACUAUAUAAUUAAUUAGGGCCUUAAAAAUUGUAUCACUUCCUCUUAAUAGCCUCUGUUGUAUUAAGUCUUAUGUCACAGAGUGUAGUGAGUUCCAGCAUUGCUCAUUCUCUUUUUGAUCAUAAUUUUGAACUAUUUACUAAUAUAUGUCCAAGUUUUGUCCAUUUGGCUGUGGACUUUCGUUUUAGGGCACUUUAUUUAACAAGGCUCCAUUUCUCAAUAUCUAUCAAUGUUUGUUUUUCUUUACAAAAUAAGUCACCAGUGCAGUGCUGGAUGAUCUGUUCUUGUAAUUAAAGCAAUUGAUAAUUUGCUGAGUUGUAGUGUGUGAAGACAAUUGGAGAAGUCUUGAGUUUGAGCUAAACAUAUUUGAACACCAUAUAACCAACACACAACAUUAAAAUGAUCACUAUCAACUAACCAAGGUCUAUCAACCUCUUGCUUGCUUAAUGUGUGUUAAUACUGACCACAACUCCAUUCUAUUUUUUAAUAGAGUUAAAAACAUUUAUAAUAGUAACAAGAAAAGAUAAGAGUUCCAGUGAUACCAAUAUCAAUCAAUGAAUUGAUUGAGCAGAAGAUCAAAUGUAAGUCACCUGGCCGUAAUGUGUUUGCAUGAACCUAUGGAGCCUUGUUUGUGGGCUUUGACCCUAGCUAGCUUCCACCAAAGCAGCAAGUUUGAUAUGUUUAUUUCUCAGAUAAAGUACAAGGCAAGUGAUGAGUGAAAAAUAAGGACAUAUGUUGAUAGCAUCCAUAUUGGCAUACCUCCAUUAAAAUUGAUGGGCUUUAAUGGGAAAUCAAGAAUAUCUUUAUCAUGAAAGUGUUCAAAUUCAAGCCUAAAAGUAAGAAGAUUUGGCCACAUGAAGCCCCAAAAGAGAAUCCACCAAAUUAAAAAAAGUUCCUUAUUCUAAAGUUCCCUAGAAAAAUAUUUCCUACAUUUUUUCUAAUCCGUUUCCGAUUCUAAUUUUUUUACUAGUUUUAAUUUUCUAGUUAUGUAAAUAUUCUUAAAUUUUGUUGUGUCUUACCAAGUUCUUCAAAUUUUAUUCAAACUAUCUUAAGAAUAUAAGAUGAACAAAACAAGAUUCAUAAAAGAAAAAUCAUUAGAAAUGCAUGGUUGCUAUAAAUAAGCAAAAUAAUAAUAGGCAAUUUAUGUUAGCACGUGUUAAUUAAAUAAUAGUAGGGCAUUUGAAAAUUAAGCAAGUAUUACACAUGAUAAAUGAUAAUUAAGUGAUAUCUAUGCAGAUCUCCCCUAGCUAUGGCUUCUUCAGAAGUAGAGUUUAUAAUAUUUUAGUACGAAUAUACGAAGAGCAUGGAGAGGUAAUAAAGAGUAGUUUUAUUUAUUAAUUUGAUAGUGUUAUUAAUGUAACAUAGGAAGAUGAGAACUUGCAUAUGCAAAGUUCACUUAUUUAAAUUUUUUUUUAAAAAGGUUUGUACGUGCAUAAUAAUUUCAUAAGCACGACGAUACAUUUAUUUAUUUAUUUAUUAACCCCUUGGAAAUUAAUGAGGCAAAGUAGAGGGUACGUAGUUUAACAAGUGAAGCCAGUAGGAUAUUUCUUUCCACAUGUGUUUAGUAUGAGGCUCAGAGAGAGUGGUACAUUCAAAUUAAUUCCCAGCACAUUUGCUUUUAUGGCUGUGCACAAGCAAACCGCGGCCUCUAGGUCCGUCAGUCCCUGGAUCAAACUGCAGCAUGGCAAAGUUGGUGGAGACCCGACUAUUACAUUCACCAAAUUAAGUAUAUUAGCACACACACCAAGUUUCAAAGUAUCUAUUGAGCAUGUUUGUUGAGAACCAACGCAAUUUCCAGUAUCAUUGGUUCCACUUACAACAGCAAACAACAGGAGAUUCAGUGAUAGGAAAAGGGGUACUGAAGACUGACUUGCAAUUGUUUUGGAAGCCAUAUUCAAAUCUAGAGAAUAUUAAUCAAGCAGUUUAUAUUUCUUAUGAUGAUGAUGUGCAUCUAACCAUGGCUAUUUAUACUAAAUUCUACUACUGUUGCACUUGAAACCAUUUUUAGAUAUUAUUACUUCAACUUAAAUAUUAGAUUAGUAGCAUAUAUGAACUUAGUCAAUUAUUGUCUGCUCAUCUUGAUUAAUUGGUAAUGCAUGAAUAGUUACACGUUGAAAAUGUUAAGGAAGCAUUAAGUAGUACUACUGUAGUAGUAUAAUUAGUAUUAGCCACCACCAAAGGACCGGAAAUGGAUCUCGAGUUUGAGCUCUGAGUAUGGAAAAAUUCUUGAUACAAGACCCUUCCCUCUUAAUAGGAUUCUACGUGAUGUGAGUUUAAAAUAGACAAACUUUAAUACGAAUAACGAACCUGGUUUAAGAAACAAAAAUUAAUAUUGGACUCCACUCACCUCCAAUGUGCCCCUAAUUUAAUUAUAUUACCAUUAAUUUUAAUUUAUAUUACAUGUAUUCAAUUUAAAUAAGAAUUUGACUAAAAUUAGAAAGGAGCUCCAUCCAAUAGUUUGCAUGCAUUCAUGCUCUAUAAUAUAGUUAUUGGAAAUUUAAUAUGCUUUUAGAGUAUUAACUAUUCCCGUGAUCAUUGACAUUUCUACAAACCAACUACAAGUCUGGGGCGACUCGACGAAAUAUGUGGCCUAAAGUUAAUUCUUAAAAAAAAGCCUAAAUAUAUUUCACUUAUUUUAUUUUAUAUUUUUAAUUGGAUUAGGCAUGAGAUUUCAAAUAUAUAAAAAACUUUUGAUACAAUUCUCUAAAAUUAAAUGUGUGUAUAAAAUAAAGAGAUAAGGGUCUCAUAUAUCUCUCAACUUUGUCAUUUAGAGUUGAUAUACUUAUCGUUAUAAAAGUGGCUCUUAUCUACCCCUACUUAUAUAAAAUGACUUACAUAUAUCAUUUUUGUCAAACGGAAAUGAAAAAAAAUUAUUUUUAUUUUUAUUUUUUUAAAAAAAAUAUAUAAUUCCAUAAGAGUAUAUUUAAUCCUCCUUAAACAUAUCUAUUUUUUUGAAUUUUUUUUGUUUCAGUGACUAAUUUAGAUUUAUUAUUUUGAUGAUUAAAUUUAUAUAUGUUUUACUAAUAUUCUUGUAAAACUUAUUAUAGAUGACCAAAUUUUUUUCUUCAAUACAAAAAUUAAAUUACAAUAUAGACCAAAAAAUAGUUUUAAAUUAUAAUAUAGCCAAAAAAAAUAGUUUUACGUUUUUUUUCUUUAUCACACAGGAAUGAAAGAAAAAAUAAAAUAAGAAUAAAAAACUUAAAUAAUUAUAAUAAAAGAAGUCAAAAAAUAAUUUAUGUAUGAAAAAGAUUAAAAUAUACCUUGAACUAUGCUAGAAGAAUCAUAUAUACCCCUAAAUAAUUUUUAAGAAAAUUAAAAGUCAAAAUAUAUAAAUUUUAAACUAAUUUUUUUACUUUCUUUAAAUGAAGGGUAUACGUGAUAUCGUUUUGUAAUGGCAGGGGUAUAUGUGAGCCGUUUGUAUAACGGUAGUGGUAUAUAUGACCCACAUAUAUAAAGAGGGAUAUAUCAAUUCCAAAUGGCAAAGUUGAGGGGUAUAAAUUUUUUUUGAUAAUCCGUUGAGAUCAUCCGCACAAACACAUGGAAAUCAUCUUUAUCGUUAUAUGGACCUUGCGAGUCUCCCAUGGACCACGAACUCUCUCAAUGCAUUUAUGAGAAGUAUAGUGUAUAUAGGGUUGAGAAAGUACUUAAUUUAUAUCUGAGACAUAUCAUUUCAUGGUGUUGCAUUGCAUUGGAUCUCAUGAUUAUUGUCAAAGCCAGAGCCUACACCCUAGACGUGGCCGACACUCGACAACCAUUGUUGGCACUAAGCGAACCCUUGGGCUGACUCAGCUCUCAACAAAAUAUUUACUCAAAAAUAAAUUAACCUCAAUUGUAACUCAACUCAUAACAACAUCACUACUUAAAAAUAGUUUAACUCAAUAAAGUCUUAAAUACUCAAUAACAUAACUAUAAACUCAACUCUUUACACAUCACAAAGAAAAUGGAAAAGACUCCUAAACUACUAUUGUCUAUCUAUGAAGCCUCUAAUAAAUAUGAUGAAAGUCGGUACAAGACCCACAACAUUCUAAAAAAACUGAAAGAUAUAAAUGGAAUCCUUCAGAAGGUGGAGGCUCCCCAAAGCUAACUCAAACUGCAAGUGGUAUCAAUGAAGCACCUGUUGAUGACCCUGGUUAUCUUUAUCUGCAUCAUGAAAGAUGUAGGCCAAAUAACAUCAGUAAUGAAAUGUACAAGCAUGCAAGGGGAACUCUGAAGAACAUAUAUAAGCUUGAACUGAUAAAAAGGAAGAAUAUACUCACCUCAUCUCAACUCAAGGAUACUCAACUCAGUUCAAUAUAAAAACAACAAUAAAAAUACAUUAUAAAUAAAGCUUUUUAAGAGGCGUAUAAUAACUCACUUGCAUCUAAAAAUACAAUAAUAAACUCUUUUACUUUUAUUUGAGAGAUUUUCUGACCGAUAACCAUCACUACGAGUUAUGUGAUGAUACAACAUCUCACCCACGCUGUCAGAACUAUCAUAUACCUUGCCUAAGUAUAAGACAUCCUCAACUAAGUGGAUCUAAUACGCUAUGCUUAAAAGUAAAUAAGGAAUCAUCUAAAAACUAUGAGCUUUUCUACCUGCGUUGACAUACAUGGUUUAUAAGGACUUUGAGUUGUUUGAAGUCGUCCCUAUACCGGUGCUCAAUAUUCUUCCCAAUAAUAUAACUUAUGCUCAUAUGUUUAAGAAACAUUUUCUCAUCCUCAAUCCUUGAGAUUAUUACUCAAAAGAUUUUCUUAAAAGAGAUUAUACUAAAAAACUUAUCUUGAACUCAUUUGAAAAUCGAUGUUUCCUCUCAUUUUAAACGUAAAAGAAUUUACUCUUGAGAAUGCUUGGUUCCCAUAUAUUCAUUUUAAAAAAAUAUGAAACUCAACUACCAUCAUCCUCUCAAGUACUCAAAUAUUAAAAUAAUUCUAUAAAAAAAGUUUGCAAAAGAAUUCUCAAAAUGACUCAAAAAAUUCCCUCAAAAUUUACUCUUUAACUCUAUCUUGAGUUUGAAAUGUAAAUUCGAGAAGUAUGAUCCGGAUAUAUAGGAUCACACAGUGAUUAUUGAAGACUUAGGUAGUUGGAAAUAAGCAACGAGUGAAGACUCAAAUUAGAGAACACUAGUGCGAUGUGGAGAUGAAAUUAGAUUUUCACUACAACAAAUAUGAUAGAUAGCUAUGAAAUUAUUAGCUACAACAUCAAAUUCGUCACUAAUUAUUCGAUUUUAGUGAUAAAAUUUACUUUUCGUGCUUAAAUAUAUGAGACACAUACUUUUAGUGACGAAACAUAAGAAUUCGUCGCUAAUUUUUGUUCACAAAAGUUUCCCACCAAAAAAAAAUUUGGCGCCAUUUGUUAAUUAGUGUUAGUCACGAAGUUAUCAUUUGACACAUUAUUUCGUCACUAAUAAUUUAUUGAAUUUCGGACAAAAAAAAAUUCAUCUAAAAAAUAUGUUGUUAAAAUAACCACAAAUUAGAGUUUGUAGUUAAAUAUUAUAAAUUUUAGCUAUGAAAACGUAUAUUUUAUUAUGAUUUUUAUUUCGUCACUAAUAAUAUAAAUAAUUGGUGACAAAUAUUUCAUUGUCUCUAAUCAAUAUAUGAUUUAGUGACAACAAAAAAAUUGUCACAAAAUAUGUAAGGUGUUUAAUAGCGACGACUUAAAAUUUUUAGUGAAUAAUUAAACUAUUUGCUACGAAAAAAUGCAUAGCUAAAUACAAUUUUUUUUUGCUACAAUUGUUCAUAAUUACAAAUGACAAAUUACAAAAAUAAUAAUACAAGUGCUUCAUAAGAAGUAGACAUAGUCCAUUCGUUAACUGACAAGUGAAAAUAUAAAAACCAAUGAAUUUGGUCGAUUUUGUAAAACGAUCAAAUACAUCUGUUUUCUUAAAUUACACAAUUAUAUAAUGCAUCAUUUGAAUAUACAAUCCGGGUUAAAAAUAUUGUGAGUAAGCAUGGUUCUACCAAUAGAUCACUAAUAUUUGUUAGUUUAACACUUUUGUUUUUUAUUUAACACACUUUUAUUGAUAAGCACGAUAAAAAAUAAUUUGUAGUCUUUAUGCGAAUCUUUGUGCAUGUCUAUUAAUUUAUUAUUGGUAAACUACAUAGAUUAAGUAGAUCUAUAUGUUUUUGUCUAUAAAUAUGUACAUAUUAAAUAUUAGUUCCACUCACGUAUGUAGAGUAACUAUACCGAGAUAACAUCGACUUAUAAACUUUGACUUUGCAAAGGUGCAAUAUAUUUCAUGAAUUUCUAUUAAUUUUUUCCAUCAGUGUGAAAAUUGAAAUAAACUAAAAAAUGAAAGCACAUAUAAAAGAAAUGAAAUAACGAGGAUUUCAGAUAUAUUAUGAUGAAUUACUAUAGUUAUGGGUAUUGAUGUUCAACUUGAACUGAUUAUUCAUUUUUUUAAUAAAAUCAAAAGUAGAUUUUAAAUAAAUAUAUUAUUGUACUGAAUAAUUAUUAAAAUUUACAAAAAUAAAUAAAUAAAAUGAGAAAAUUGAACAGAAUAUAUUUAAAGAUAUUUAAAAAAUACACAGUUUAAUUAAAAUAUAAUCUACAUUUGAAUGAAUUGUGGGUGGUAAAUUUCAUGCAUUUGUAUAUGAGCAUAAAUAAUCAUAUAAUAUAUUAUUUCUACAAAAGUUAAAUUUGAAAAAAGUGAAUGAAGUAUAAAAUAAAAUAAAAAUGAACAAGAGGGAGUUGGUCUGAUGGUAAGCACUCUUCAUUUCCAACCUUAAGGUUCUGAGUUUGAUUCCCCGAGGCAGCAUCAUGUGUGAGCUCCUGGCCAAUGUUGAAAAAAUUUGAGAUGGGAGAGGGGGGUGGGGGUGGGGGAGAGAGGAAGAUAUAUAUGUAUAUACAUUUAAAAACAAAAUAAUUUUUUGUAUAUAAAAUAUAUAUCAUUAGUGACGAAAUUAAUUUUUUUUCAGCUACAAAAUAUAUAUAACUUUUGAUACAAUUGAUUACGUCACUGAUUGAAGUAAAAUAAUUGGCGACGAUAUAAUUUUAUCGGUAGUAAUAACCUUUUUAGUGACAAAGCAUACUAUUAACUACAAAAAAUACACUUUUUACAACAAGUAAAUUUGUUACAAAUGAUUAAGCAUUUAGUGACAAUUUCUUUUUUUGUAGUUAAUAUAAUACUUUUAGCGACGAAACACUAAAUUGUCUUUGUUACUUUUAGUGACACACAUUUAAAGACGACUGAGUGACAAAUUAUUUUUCGUCACACAAUAUUUUUAAUGACGAAAUUAUUUGUCCCUGAUAAUCGAAUUUGUUGUAGUGUUUGAUCGCAAAAUAUUUUUGAAGCAGAUGACUUCGUAUCCUCUCUGCAACUCGGAAAGGGGUGAUUAUUUGGGGGACUGAAAUUCUAAGAGCCUCCGCGAUGCGGACCUAAGCACUAUUAUUUGCCUGAUCUUUUCCUCUCCUUCCAAACUCAAUUCAACUUAUACCUAAAGUCAAAAUUCUCGAAUUUUCAUUACUCAAAAUAGUUGUAGCGAUACCCAAACAAAGAACUAUCAAUUAACUGAACUCACUUGCAAACUCUUGACUCAAGAACUCAAAUCAGCACUGAAUUGCCAAUUAAAUUCAAGAACUUCUCAAAAACUCAAUAAUUUGACAUCAAGAAUGAAUUCCUGGGUAAAAAGAUUACAUGAUUUGCGUGAGAGAGAACACAUCCAACACGUGACAUACAAUGCAUUCUUCAAAAAAAAAAAAUCCCAAAAAACGAUGAUGUUAGUCGCUUUAUUGCAAUGCUUCAGUUGAUUUUUGAAAAUUGUCAACUAAAAAAGCGACCCAUUGGAACGCACAACUUUUUCGUCGAUUUUGACCUAAAAAGCAAAGCAGUUCAUCUCUUUUUUUGUCCUUUUUGUUAUUUUUAGUAGCAUAUAAAUCAUGUGAAAAUUAAAUUUGCUCACGAAAUUUAAAAUAUUUCUAAAUAAAUAUCAUGUUUGAUUAAAAAAUAUUUUUUUAUAUUUUGUACACACAUUGUAACGAUAUGUUUCUUUGUUAUGGAAAAGCCAACGGGAAAAAAAAUUUGAGCUAGAAAACCUUUAUUUUUUGUAGUAUUUGGAAAUUCUAGGCUAGGCCAGACUUGGACGAAAUCUGAGAUCUGGGGAAGUCUAGAGAGAUCUGGUAGUGAAUCUGGAAUCUGAUUAAGAAUUUGAUCACAUGAGCGGAUAAUCAAGACGUUAAGGAGCUUGUACGACUUUACGAAAUCGAAUUCGGGGGAGUAUAACUUUUGAAACUGAGCUUAGUAUGAAAGGGUAGUUUCUGAACGUCUAGGGUUGAAGAUGUAUUGUGAAAUGAGAGCUUGAAAUUUAAAUUCCGAGUUUUUGUCUUAGUGCAAGCCGUCAGGGCGGGAUUGUUCCCGUAAUGGAAAGGUCGAUGUGGUGGAUUGGAUCCCGCAAUGGCGGGCCAAUCGCGACUUAAGUCAGGAAAAAAAUCCAAAAUCACUUUUUCCUGUAAAACUUCAUUCUUAAGAGAUGGGAGACAAUCCAGGUUGAUUUCUUGACAGUUUUCCACGAUUUUUAGUGCUAAAGGUAAGGAUUUUACUCCUCUAAUCUGUAUUUCGAUUCCUAGAACUUUGAAUCUUGGAUAAUUAUCAUUGGAGAGGAUUUUGGCCUGAAGUUAAUGGUGGGAAUAAGUCCUAGAUGAAUAUUAGGAUUAUGGGUUUGGUCUUGGGUUAUUAAGAUUAUUAUCCAGGUAAAUUAGACCUUGUUUAUUGAUCAUUGGUUAAAAUACUUGUUUAUAGACCAAGUAUGACACCCCAAAAAAAAAUUUAAGUUAAGACUUGUAUAAUUCUUCGCAAAGUAAGUUUUUACCAAGAAAUUUUAUAUUUUUCUUAAGAGUUAAGGUUAUUAGAUAUAUCACCUUGAAUUCCAAAAAAAAUUAAAGAUAUUCAUUCAAGUCAUUCCUUAGUUCUUUUAAGUUUUGGGUCAACUUCAAAUGAUCAUACCUUUUAGCACAGGAUGAGUUAGGAGACCCAUAAGAUUUCAAAUGAAAGGUCUUAGAAUCCUUUUUUCAACAUCACCGAGUUUGCUAAUUUUUAAGCUCGUAUGAGUAAGAUAUGCUCGUUUGAAGUCGGAUUGUCCAAAUAAAGAAAGUUACCCAAAAAUAUGAGAGGUAUUUUGGUGUUUUCUUACCCAAUCGAAUUCAAAUGUUUUUAGUAAGGUUUUAGGAGUCUAAACUGGUUAAAAUCAAUUUCAUUCAUUCUUAAAUUUAGAAUUUUAGAGAGAAGAUUCAACAGGAGAAAAAGUUCAUAGUUUCAAACGUUCAUUCAAGAAAUUCAAGAUUUCACCAAAAACCUAAUUCUUUGACGUACGUAAGCUUCCGUAGUGUAGGUAUCAUUCAUCCACACACCAAUCAUAAGUUUCUUUUGUGAAUCUAUCCAUAGAUAUUGAGCAAUUUAAUUUCUUGAUGAGUUCUUGAUAAGUGUUCUUGAAGUUUCCUUAUUAAUUAAGUUUUGUUGUAAGUUUCUACUUGGGUCAAUUUCAAAUGACCAUCUCUAAGAAUAUAAAGAGUUACGUGGGUCAUAACCUAUCAAAUUAAGCGUAUUUGAAUCUACUUUUCAACGCCAUCAAUUUUGCGUAAAUCUAAUUUUUGAGUAAAAAUUUAUGACUAUUUUAGUAAUUUGAUACAGUGUUGUCACGAAUUAGCCGACGUGAAAAUAUUAAAAAGCAAUGUUUUUUUCUUUUUACCCCCAAAAAACCCUAAAAAAAUUUCUUGACUAAUAAAAGGCUAAAAAAUAUAAGAUUUUCAUCUUUUAAUCCAUCAUUCUCUUCUCUCUCAAACCCUAGGGCAAAACCCUAAGGAAAGAUUCUUUCAAUCUUUUUCAAGAUUCUUCUUUAAGGUAAGCCUUUCUCCAAGAAUUCAUUCUUUUCAACUCAAAUUCCUCCAUACAAUUGUGAAUCACUAAUGAAAAUCAUAAUUCUUGGACAUAUAUAUUUCAAGAAACUAAUUCAAGAAUCUCAAAGAAGAUUUUCUUGAUUGUUUACUUUCAAUCUGGGAUUUUAAGGCUUCUAAUAAAGUUCUUCUUUAAUGUUACUAGUUCUUCCUCACACCCUACAUCUUCUUUCAAAUCAAUAAAAGAGAAAUCUAGGAUUCUUCUAAGAUUUGAGCAUUCAUGAGAUAAGUUGAUUUUAGUUCUUGAGUUCAUAAUUAUUUUAAAGAUUUUAUUCCUAAUUAUUGACUUUCCAUGUUUUAAUUGAGAUUCUUUAGUUAAAUCAUUCAUGUCUAUAAUUCAGUAUGAACCCUAUUUUGAGUUGUAAAUUUUAAGAAGUUUUUUCAAAGCGAACACUUUAGUUUUGGACUAAGUUUUGAGGAAGUAAGUAUAAGAAUGAGAAGAGUCUUAUACAUGAGUUCCAUAUUAUUAUGAAGACUCUUGAGUCGAGUCUUUCAUGCCUAUAAAUUCUGCAUGAACUCCAUACAUUGAGAAUCUUUGAGAGGAGUAGUAUCUUCUAAUUUUAAGUCUUUAGGCAUUAAGUUUCUAAUUGUUUUGAGAUUAUAUUCCUACUUAUGAGACUACUACAUGUUACCCAUGAAGCCCUUGAGUUGAGUUGUUCAUGUCCAUAAUUUCGCAUAAACCCUAUGAUUCAAGGAGUCUAGAUAUGAGUAGUAUCACUGAGCCUUAAGUUCUAAAUAUUAAGUUUCUUUAUUGCUAUUAAGAUCCCUAAGUUGAGUCGUCCAUGUUAAUAAUUCUAUAUGAACCCUAUGAUUUGAGUUAUAAGUUUUAGAAAGCAUUUUAAAGUCAACACUUGAGUUCUUAAUGUAAGUUUUGAGAAAGUAAAGAUAAGUUUUGAUAAAAGAGUUUUCUUAAAGAUGAUUAGUAUGACAAUCGAAUAUGUCAUCAUUGUAUGAGUAGUAUGGUAUCUAUAUAUACCAUCAAUAUUUAUGACGUCUGACUUCCCGAGUCAUCAAUGAUCAUAUUAUAAUAUGAUUUUGAAUUUUUUUUGAGAAAGAGCAUAGUUGAGUUCAUUUUCCUUAAAAUUAUAUAUGGAAACUAAUUAUUCCCAAGAGUAAAUGUUCUCUAAGAUAAGAGAAAACUAAGAUUUACAAAAGAGUUUUGAGCAAUUUAAGUACCAUAUUUUUAACAGAAAGUUUUUUAAGUAAUUAUCACAAACCACAGAAAAAAAAUAUGUUUCUAAACGUAUGAGCUAGUAUCUUUUGGGAGUAGUUUUGAGCACCGAUAUGGGGGAGAUUUCAGAUUACUCACAAGCCCUACAAACCAUGUAGUCAACGUGGGUACAAAGGGUCAUACUUUGCAGACGACUCCUUAAUGCUUUUUAGUAUAGACUAGUGGAUCCACUUAGUAGUAGGUCUUAUACAUGACAAAGUAUAGGGUAGUUCUGACAGCGUGGCCGAGAUGUUGUAUCAUCACAUAGGUCAUAGUAAUGGUUGUCACUUGGAGCUUAUUUACAUAUUUUACUUUGUAUUUUCAUAUACAAGUAGAUUUAUGUUGUAUCCUUGCAUACAAAUUGAGUUACUAUUGUAUUUUUUCAAUACAUCGAGUUAAUUUCUACUAUUUAAAAAGUUUUUCGUUUAUAACACCUCUUUUGUUGUUUUAUCUUAAAUUGAGUAUCCACAGUUGAGUAUUUUGAGUUGAGUUGAGUAUCUUUGAGUUGAGUAUAAUAUCUUUGAGUUUAGUAUCUUAUUCUUCAGAUUAGUUGAGUGAGUUGAUAAAAGGUAAGUAUGUUUCCUUUUUAUAAAAUUCAAACAUAUAUUUAUGCUUUAGAAUUCCCCUUAUAUGCUCGUACAUUCCACGUAUAGAGCCAUUUAUCGUGCAUAAUUUUGUUAUGCAGAUACAUGUAUUCAGGAUCAUCAACAAGCAAUUCGUUGAGGUCAUGUCAUAUUCCAGUCACCUUUGGUGAGACUUCUAAUAUUUCGAAGGACUUCACCUUUAUCUUACAUUUAGUAGUUUUGAGAGGUCAUGGGUCUUAUCUCGAUAUCCUUCUGUAAAGUAGAGUCUUCAUAGAUAGAUAGAGUUAAGGAGUUUUUGUAUUUACUUUUAUUUUGAGUAUUGUACAGACUUUUAAAAAGGUUGAAGAUUUGAGUUUAUUGAAUUUAUUUUAGUUUUAAGCUUUUGUAUGCUUGAAUUAGUCUUCCACUUCUAGCCAGCUAGGACGAGGGUUUUCUUGGAAAUCACCAAUGGUUCUCGAGGGUUGGGCACUUUCAAGGUGUAGGCUUAAGUCGUGACACCAAGAACAAGUGAAAGAAUCCGAAAAGGAAAGACUCAAGUGUAUUAGGAGGAUUCAAGCUUGGUUUGAGGUAGAUAAUGGUUUGAUUUCCUGUUUGUGUAAUAUAUGUCGGUUGAUUGCUACUUUAUAUUACAGGCGUGUAUGUGAAUAGGGAAAUGUGAACCAAUCUAAUGAAAUGAUUAUGUGUGAACAAUAUAUGUCACGAAUUUGUUACUUGCUUGUAUGAUUGAGUAUUAGUCAUGAUAGAUGUGAUUAUAAUUGUGGUUGUGCUGAUUGGAUCGAGUGUCACAUUCUGACACAUGUAUUAGAUCGGGUGUCACAUUUCGACACAUAUAUUAGAUCGAAUAUCAUGUUUCGACACAUAUAUUAGAUCGGAUGUUAAGUUUUGAAACAAUAAUAAUUUGGGGAUGGGUUCCAUGAGACUACCAUUUGUGAUAAUUGUGUUAUAUCUUAUUUUCACUGAAAUUAGAAAAUUGUAUGUUACUCCUAAAAUGAUAACUGAACUAUAUUUUGUUUAAGUGUGCUUAUUGUGUUGUAAUUGUUCGUUCACUACUAAAAAAAUAAUAUUUAGCGACGGAUAUUAGUGACGAACAGUAUUUCGUCACUAUAUAAUGACGGAUUUGCGAUGGAAUAAACAUUUUGUUGCAAAAUUAAACAAGUAAUAUUUUGAUUUAUAAUAUAGCAACAUAUUUACAACGGAAUAUAUAAUCCGUCUCUAAAUAUUAGCGCAAAAAUUUGGCGCCUAAUUUUCCCUACAGAUUUAGUAACAAAGUAGUGGUGACGAAUUUAAUUAAUAUUGGGCGACGGAACUAGUGACCAAAAAAAGGUUGCUAAACUAUCAAAUAUAUUUUUUAUAAAAAAUAUAUUAUAUAGUGACGAAAAUAUUUGUCAAUAUAAUUUUUCUAAAUAUAUAUAUUUAUUUGAAACCAACGGAUUUUAGAAUUCGUCACUAAUUCCGUUGCAAACUCAAAUUUCAGAUUUCCAUUACUCUCAUUUAAUCUCAUCCGUCCAUCAUAAUUAUCAAACUCCAAGAGUCAAUCUCAUCCGCUCAUCCGAAUUUAUCAAUUGUCCUGCUUUAAGACCCUUGCUUUCCCAUCUUAUACAAAAGAUCCCAAAUCCCUAAUUUUCUUCAUUCUCUUCCUCUCCUCUACAAGUCCGCUGCCCAGGCCUUGUUUGCCUUCUUCUCCGUUCUUUUUUUCGGCCUUUGCAGCCUGGAGAACGAGUAGUGAACAACAAUGGUGAGCUCCGAAAGACUUGCGACGACCACCGAACCUCCUUCGUUGGCAGAAGAUCAAGUUGGCGAGCAAUUAGGCGACCAGGUGGUCUCCGUCCGGCUACAGCAACAACACAAAGAUAGCGCCAUCAAUUGCCUUCCUCUCCGGUGAAGAAGGACAGCAACUUUAGCUACACGCUGUGAGCAGCGAUGGUGAGCACCGGCAGCAUCCAAAUCCAGCGAGCAACAUAGGAACAAAAUCUAGGGAGAACACAACAACAAUUUCAGUCAUAGGAGCUCUAUGAGGAUUUUAGGUGAAGAAACUCUUUCCUUCAAUGCUCUGUAAAUAAAGCAUUCUUAUCAUAUCUUUUAUCGAAACACUAAGAGAUUAAAUUAAUAAAAUGACAACAAUUCUUAUAUAAUUUGGUUUUGUCUGUUUCUUGAAAGAUAUAUCAAAGCAAUUGUUCCAAAACAAGUAAUCUAUGGCUUUCGUGAGAAUGAUGUUAGCUUAACUAAAGUUUCUUUAACUCAAGUCAGAUGCCACCUCUUGACGUUUGUGAGAUAUAGUAAGCAAUCAAAAUAUGUGAUUUGAUUGUUUUUUUCUUCUUCAAGUGGAACUUAUAAAUAGGGUAGUAUAAAUCAACAGAAGCAAUUCGAGUAGUUCAAAAGGAAAUGUACGUUUUUUCUGUACAAUAUGGUGGUGUUUCUAUAAGAUCCAUCAAAGACCAAUGUGUUCUUAUAUUCAUUUUCAUUAUCCUUGAUUCCCUCAACUUUGUGUUAGCCAUUUUAUAUUUGUCUCCUUUAUGCCCCCUUUCCCCCUUUUCAGUUCACAUUGAAGCUGGUGCAUUUAGGUGUAUAAAGAUAACUUGUUAUUCCAAAUGUAUCAUUAUGUUGGCGGGCAUGAAGUUGUUGUUGUACUUACACGGGUGACUCUAUCUCAAUUGGAGAAUAUUGCAGAAAACUUGUAAGUAUAUAUUUCACAAAUUAUAUAAGUACUAUCUUUAGGUUGUAUGAUCUAUACACAUGUAUCUAAACACACAUUACACAAUAUAUAUUAUUGUAUUUAAAGGUGAUUUAUCUUUUGUAUAGGCUAAAGGAUCGAGAUCCAACACCAAGCGAGUUACAUUUGCACGUCCAUACACAUGGUCAUGAUGAAAAAUCUUUUGUUGAUGAGCGCUCUCAAAUUGUCCAUGUAGGUCGAAAAAAUAAACAUGUAGUUGCUAAUUAGAAUGAGCUCUCUAAUUCUUGUUUAAUUUCUUAUUUUUUUUCUUAGCUUACUGUUUCGUGUUUCGUGAACCUGUUGUAUGCUUGGGAUUUAUGUGUUUGUGAUUUGUUAACUCUAACUGAUUUGCCUUCUUAAGCUGGAAUUUUUUAGUCACAGUUUGAGUCUUUUUGUUUAUUUAUUAAUCAAGUCUUUGCCAUGUGAACCCCUUUCUUAAUUCUUUGUAGUAUUCGAGUGUUCAAUUCUUUGUUUAAUUUGCUCACUGUAAACAUUGAUUGUUAAUUUUGACUAUAUUUUUUUUGUUAUUAUUUAGGAGUCAAAUGUGAUGAAUUAGUAGAAAUCCGAUUAAUUUAUCAUGAGUAGUGGUUAAAUUUAUCUAGAAUUAAUUUUUAUAACUUUUACAUGAUUUUAAGUCAUUGUACAUUUGUUGUUUCAUUUUCUUGCUCCUUGGAUGUUCAUUAUUUGUUAUUGAGGAAUGAUUUGGAUGUAAUAUUGUUGCUAUACUUAUUUUGGGUUCUAAUUCCUAUUUUUUUUGUAUCAUGUACAAUCAUGUGGAGUCCAAAUUGGACUCGAAUAUGUUUUCCUUCGCAUUUCUAAUGAGCCAUGAAAGCUCAAGUCCCGAGUGAAUCCUUGACUAUCACUGGGAAGUCGGAAGAGAAUUGCUCUAUUGUCUAUCUUCAAUAAGGAGAUUUCCAUCAUAUUAAUUUUAGUUUGUACAAUUCAAAUAAGAUGCAAAAAGUAAUUACCAAGAUAAGUCUGAAGAGGGAGAAUUUUCUCAAAAGAAAAUUAAGGAAAAAAAAGUAAUACAAGAAGUUGAUAGUCAUUUAUAAUUCGUAUUCUCAUUUAGUUAAUCCAAGAGGGUGAUGCUAGUAACCAUUAAGCAAAAUCGAGAAAAGGCAACAUAACAAAAUAAUCUUACAUGCAUAUGCUUCUGUGUAGUUUACGUUACGAUGAUACUCGUUGGGACUUAUUGUUGCUAUGUUACAUUGUUUAUGAAUUUUUUCAAAAGGAUUUAUGGCAUAAAGUGCUUGUUAUAGACCAUAGCAGUAAAUUGGAUCAGGUAGCUAUUUUUUUUCUUGACAUUUAUAUGAAUUACAUUUGUUUGGUCUUGAAACAUCUGAAAUCCAUUCAAGAUUCUCUGAACUUUGAGGUAUCAAUUACAGUGUGUUUCUUUAUUUGUUUUUUUAUUUAGUUUUUUCACAACAAAAAAAGGGUCAAAAUUAUCCCUAUCAUAUUAUAAAUGACUCAAAAACAUUUUUCUUUUCCCUUAUGGGAUCACUGAUCAAGUUUUAGUUUAGGUCCAUAUCUACUUUCUAAUUUGUCUCCUCAUGUGUUUAUUGGGGACUAGUGUAAAGUUGUAGGCUUAUAGCAAAUAUUCUUGAAUACUGUGUUGUUGUACGUAAUUAUCAUUUCACUCAUUUUUAAUCUAAGUUUAAAUGUAAUGUAUAUGUAAUGUAUGUUAGCUAAAAAAGUAUAGUACAUUUAGUUAAUCUAAAAGGUUGUGUAUGUUACUACACUUUCUUUUAAAUAUUAUUUUGUUACUAAUUUUUAGUGCUUUCUCUUUAUCUUUAUUUACAGGAAAAAUAUGAAGAAAUAUUAUGGGGGAAGGUCUCAAUUUGAUAUUGAUCAAUCUGAAGCAUACUACAAAAGUUGAUGAACAAAGGUUCUCUUAAGAAUAGUUGAUAGAUUAUUUUUGAUGUUUUGCUCCAAAAUAUGUGAUUUAGAUUUUGCUAUGUACAGAUUUUGAACCGUCUAAGUAUUAUUUUUUAUGAAUAUUUGUUAUUUUAGAGGUACUUUUAGUAAAUGUUAUUUAAUUUAUUUCAGCAAUGUAUAUUUAAAAUAAAUAAAUGAAAUUAUUUUACAAGAAACUUUUUAACAACAAAUUUAAUAAUGAUUUGGUCAUUGCUAUAAAAAAAAUAUUGGCGACGAAUCAGCAACGAAAUAUUUUAGUGGCAAAUAUGUUGGCUCAAAUAACAGAAUAUUUUGUGAUGGAUUAGUGACGUAAACUUCGUCAAAAAUUUAUUUGAAAUGACGAAAUUACUUAUGAAAUAGCAACGAACUAUAUAAGCAUAACGAUGGACCAGUCUGUCACUAACAAGUGGCGACGAAUAUCAUUCGUCUCUAAUAUGUCGCUAAUCUUGCGAUGGUCUCAUUUUUUUGUCGCUAAGAGAUUACUAACGAGCGAAAUAGCAACAACCAGCAAUUUUUCGCAAAUCCGAUUUAGUGACGAAAUACCAUAGAUUAGCGACGGAUUUCACCCGUCGCUAAAUGUUUUUUUUUUUGUAGUGAUUGUAUAUUGUGCUUAUGGGAGUAGUCGCGUGAUCCUAUCAGUACAUUCUGGUUAUGUACUGAUAACUGAUACUGCACUUGGUCUUUCUUGUUGAGUACAGGGCAUUUUCAGCCUGAUAGACCUCAGUUAGGAGACUAUUGUUCGAUGACCGGAUGCAAGGGUAAGCCAGUUCUUUCAUACUAUCAUGGAUAUUUUUUGUUUGAAUCCACUCUUUUCGGACUCAGACUAUUUAGUAAGGGUUUGCUUAUGUUAGUUGGGUUGCAUCCCUUUUCCUUAGAUUUGAUGGUUUACAAAGUUUUGGUACAAUGAAUUUUAGGUUCUAGGAGUUGUUUUCUGCAAUGGUUUUGGUAGUUGUUUUUGUUAAACUUUCAGAGUUUAUGGAAACUCCAUAUUUCGUUCGACAUUUAGACUUGCUUCAGUGUGUUUAAAUGUUCUAGAUUUUGUUAGGUCGUAGAAAUGGCUCUCCCACCAGAGGGUUAGUGUGGGUGUCAAUCACGACGGUCUGAAACGUGCCACACAUUUAAUUUUAGAGAAUUGUGUCAAAAGUUUUUUAUAUAUUUGAAACUUCAUGUCUAAUCAAAUUAAAAAAUAUAAAAUAAAAUAAGUGAAAUAUAUUUAGGCUUUUUUUUUAAAGAAUUAACUUUAGGCCACAUAUUUUGUUGAGUCGCCCCAGACUUGUAGUUGGUUUGUAGAAAUGUCAAUGAUCACGGGAAUAGUUAAUACUCUAAAAGCAUAUUAAAUUUCCAAUAACUAUAUUAUAGAGCAUGAAUGCAUGCAAACUAUUGGAUGGAGCUCCUUUCUAAUUUUAGUCAAAUUCUUAUUUAAAUUGAAUACAUGUAAUAUAAAUUAAAAUUAAUGGUAAUAUAAUUAAAUUAGGGGCACAUUGGAGGUGAGUGGAGUCCAAUAUUAAUUUUUGUUUCUUAAACCAGGUUCGUUAUUCGUAUUAAAGUUUGUCUAUUUUAAACUCAUAUCACGUAGAAUCCUAUUAAGAGGGAAGGGUCUUGUAUCAAGAAUUUUUCCAUACUCAGAGCUCAAACUCGAGAUCCAUUUCCGGUCCUUUGGUGGUGGCUAAUACUAAUUAUACUACUACAGUAGUACUACUUAAUGCUUCCUUAACAUUUUCAACGUGUAACUAUUCAUGCAUUACCAAUUAAUCAAGAUGAGCAGACAAUAAUUGACUAAGUUCAUAUAUGCUACUAAUCUAAUAUUUAAGUUGAAGUAAUAAUAUCUAAAAAUAGUUUCAAGUGCAACAGUAGUAGAAUUUAGUAUAAAUAGCCAUGGUUAGAUGCACAUCAUCAUCAUAAGAAAUAUAAACUGCUUGAUUAAUAUUCUCUAGAUUUGAAUAUGGCUUCCAAAACAAUUGCAAGUCAGUCUUCAGUAACCCUUUUCCUAUCACUGAAUCUCCUGUUGUUUGCUGUUGUAAGUGGAACCAAUGAUACUGGAAAUUGCGUUGGUUCUCAACAAACAUGCUCAAUAGAUACUUUGAAACUUGGUGUGUGUGCUAAUAUACUUAAUUUGGUGAAUGUAAUAGUCGGGUCUCCACCAACUUUGCCAUGCUGCAGUUUGAUCCAGGGACUGACGGACCUAGAGGCCGCGGUUUGCUUGUGCACAGCCAUAAAAGCAAAUGUGCUGGGAAUUAAUUUGAAUGUACCACUCUCUCUGAGCCUCAUACUAAACACAUGUGGAAAGAAAUAUCCUACUGGCUUCACUUGUUAAACUACGUACCCUCUACUUUGCCUCAUUAAUUUCCAAGGGGUUAAUAAAUAAAUAAAUAAAUGUAUCGUCGUGCUUAUGAAAUUAUUAUGCACGUACGAACCUUUUUAAAAAAAAAUUUAAAUAAGUGAACUUUGCAUAUGCAAGUUCUCAUCUUCCUAUGUUACAUUAAUAAUACUAUCAAAUUAAUAAAUAAAACUACUCUUUAUCACCUCUCCAUGCUCUUCGUAUAUUCGUACUAUAAUAUUAUAAACUCUACUUUUUGAAGAAGCCAUAGCUAGGGGAAAUCUGCAUAGAUAUCACUUAAUAAUCAUUUAUCAUGUGUAAUACUUGCUUACAAAUGCCCUACUAUUAUUUAAUUGACACGUGCUAACAUAAAUUGCCUAUUAUUAUUUAGCUUAUUUAUAGCAACCAUGUAUUUCUAAUGAUUUUUCUUUUAUGAAUCUUAUACAUAAGUUAAUUUAAUUAAUUAUCUACAUACCUUAUAUUAAAGCAGCAUCUUCAAAAGUAUGUUAGUCGACUUGUAUAAUAGCAUCUCGCACCUUACAAAUUUUGCUUAUAGGAAUUUUUUUUUGCAUAAAACAUGUAGUAUACAUAGCAUGCCUAUAGGGAAAAUUUACAAUGCAUUUUCUGUCUGUUUAGUAAUCAUGCCUAUAUGGCCAUUUAAUUAAAUUGAAUUCGUUUUCAUAUGAUCGACAAUAUACAUUAAGACAGUCCCAAUAAUCUUUUGGUUUAUCCCAUUAUGUGUUUAUGCAUUUUAAAAGUAAUUUAUUAAUCACGCCUACAAGAAUUAAUAUCAUUUAAGCUCUCCUUAGAUAUCUUGUUUUUAGAUUUUAAUGGCUAACAUGUCUUUAGUAUUGUAUAGCAACAGACUUAAGUCAUACGUGUUUCCUUAAAGUUAUUUGCAUAUUUUAUUUAAAUAACUCAAUUAUAGGUUAUGCCUAUUGAACAUCUCAAUUGUUCAAAAGUCAUUCCUAUUGGACACAAAAUAGUGACAUCACAAAAAAACGUGUGGUUCGCUACUAUCAAAAUAUAUUUUUUUUAACUUAUACCACUAAACUAAAUUUUUUAAAAAAAUAAUAAUUAACAAAAAUAAAAGAAGAAGGAAGAGUCAUCGUCUUCCCCACCCCAAUAUUUCCUUCCCUGCAACUUUUUUCAAUUUCUCAUCCUCCAUUUUCAUCCUCUGUUUUACAUACAUGCUCAACCCUCCCCAUUCUCUGCACCCCAUUUCGGUGAAUCUAUAUUUAUUUCAAUGAGAAAAAUAUGAAUUAAUUUUUCAGCUAAAAGUUUGUUAUUAUAUUUUGCAAUUUUGAUAAAUAAUUACUAAUGGUAAGAAGAUGAAGACAAUGAGUAACAGAUUUGAUGCUAUCAAUAUGAAGAAAACUAAUAUUCCCUCCGUUUCAAAAAGGAUGAUUUAGUUUGACUUGGAGUUUAAAAAAAGAAAGAAAACUUUUUAAUCUUGUGGUUCUAAAUUAAAGUUAUGUCAAAUAUACCAAAAUGUCCUUUAAUCUUGUGGUCUUAAACAUGUCACGUGGAAAGUUAAAGUUAAAGUGUUGCAUAAAAGGAAAGGAGUCAUUCUUUAGAAACAAACUAAAAAAUAAAUAGACAUUUUUUUUUGAAACGGAGAGAGUAAGUUCAAGUAUUAGCUAAUUUCUAACUUUCAUUAUUUCACUAGCACUUGAACUAUUCAAUAGAGAAUCCAAAUUGCAUCUUUACAUAGAAAUCAUAACGGAUAAAACUGAAUGAAGGAGAAGAAAGAGGUAGGGAGAUGAUUUGCUUGAGUUAAUACUAUGGUCACUAAAUUAUGUGUUCAAGUUUCAAUUUUACUUCAAAAGUCACUUAACUAUGCACAUUUCUCUCAUAAAGUCACUCAACUUUUAGUUUUAAUUCAAAAGUCACUCAACUAUUCACUCUUCUCUCAAAAAGUCACUCAAUUUAUUUAAUUAUUUUUAAUUAAAAUUUAUUUAUAACAAAUCAAAAUUUUAAAAAAUAAACAAUACCAUUUAAACAAUGCAAUGACCCGUUCUACUUGACCCGACCCACUAAAAUAUAAUAUUGACCCAUUUUAUGACUAUUUCUCCUCGGCGUUUUUUUUUUCUUUCUAAAAGAGGAAGAAGAAAAAUUAUUUGAACAACAUUUAUUUCAAGGAAUGGGUACUCUGUUCAGAGAAGGAACAAGAUUCAUGACUGAUUUAAAUGUAAUUCAUGUAAUUGAAUCUAUAUGUUCAGGAACUGAAAUCAUUCACAAAAACUCAUUAACAGGUCCAAAAUUAGCUCAAAAUUCGAUAUUUUGUUCAUUCUUUUUUAAAACACCAUUGUUGAAGAAAACACCUCGACUUUUAAACUCAUCAAUUUCUAUGAAUACAAUUAUACCACUUUCGACUCAACCCAUAAUCAAGUGAAUACAAGUGAAGAACCCAUCUGGGGUCGCAAAAAACAGAGCAAUUUCAUUGACCAAGACAACAACAGUACUAAGUCAAUUCAAUUGAGUUAUCAGGUUUACGCUGAUGAACUUGAUCCAAAAAGUUCAUUAUCCGAGUUUAUGGAUCAUGUUCCAAUGAAUUUAAGAAGAUGGGCUUGUUAUCCAAUGUUAUUUGGUUGAAUCAAAAGAAAUUUCAAGCAUAUAAUAUUGGAGAAAUUCCAAUGUUAAUGAAUUUAAUAAAAGAGGAAGAAGAAAAAUCAAUAGAGAACUAACAUAAAACGGAGGAGAAAGAGUCAUAAAAUGGGUCGAUAUUAUAUAUUUAGUGGGUCGGGUCAAGUGAAGCGGGUCAUUAAAUGGUUAAAUGCUAUUUUUUAUUUUUCAAUAUUUUAAUUUGUUAUAAAUAAUUAAUAUCAACAAAUUUUAAUUAAAAAAAGGGAAAGGAUCUGAUAUAUCCCUCGUUAUGAAAGUUGUUCAUAUAUGUUUAUACAUUUUAAAAGUAAUUUAUUAAUCGUGCCUACAAGAAUUAAUAUCAUUUUAUAAGUUCUGCUUAGAUAUCUUGUUUUUAGAUUUUAAUGGAAGCAUGUCUUUAGUAUCAUAUAGUACCAGACUUAAAUCGUAUAUGCGGCUCCUUAAAGUUAUCCGCAUAUUUCAUUUGAAUACCUCAAUUGUAGGUUAUGCCUUUGAACACUUCAAUUAUUUAAAAAUCAUUCCUAUUGGACAUAAAAUACUGACAUAACAUAAAAAUUAUGGUUUACUCUCUUUAAGUGCGUAAAACUAUCAAAAUAUUUUUUUUCUUUUUUUUCUAACAUAUACAACUAAAAUAAUUUUUUUUUAAAAAAUAAUUAACAAAAAUAAAAAAAUAGAAGGAUGAUUCAUCGUCUUCCCCACCCCAAUAUUCCCUUCCCUGCAACUAGUUUCAAUUUCUCAUCCACCAUUUCCAUUCGUCUUUUUACGCACAUGCUCAACACACCUCAUUCCCUGCACCCAUUUCGGCGAAUCUAUAUUUAUUUCGAUGAGAAAAAUAUGAACUAAUUUUUGGGAUAAUAGUUUGUUAUUAUAUUUUGCAACUUUGAUAAAUAAUUACUAACAGAAAGAAGAUGAACAAUGAGUAACAAAUUUGAUGCUAUCAAUAUGAAGAAAAACAAUUGGUUCUAGUAUGAAGAAACCUUACCCCAGAACACGAACCAGGUUCGUGUAAGUUGCUUUUAAGUAAAGACAGAAUAGAAACACAAACACUUAUUGAAUUAAAAACCUUCCUCACUCAAGGAAGGAAAAACCUCGUUUUAUUAAUUCAACUAUAAGAUUUUGUGAUUACAACUCAAUAAUCAAAAGUCUUAUCUCUACUACUCCCUCGAUUGACUCCAAUCGAUCUCUCCAAAAGGCCAAACCCACCUUUUGUUACAACUCUUACUAACACUCAACCCUACAAAGAGCCAAACCCACCCUUUGUACAAUAAACUGUAAAUUACAAUUAAGAACAAAAACAAGACAAAUAGUUCUUCGCGAUAAAACCUUCUAACUCAAGAACGUUUUGUACGUGGCAGUCCUAUCAAUCUUGAAGACCUCAGUUUGAUGAUUAAUUGCCUCUUGUUCUCUGCGUGAAGUGGUAGAUCUUUUCUCUGCCUCGUGUGCUUCUUAUAGAGUUUUGUCCUUGUAUAAUCCCUACUAAUAAGGUAAGAAAGUUAUGUUUAAACAAAGAUUCUUUUUUAAAUUAGAAUCCUUAUUAUACACAACUUCCUUCCUUAAUAAUAUAUUUAAGGUUUUCCUUAUUUAUAUUGACUUGUACCUUUAAUAUAUUAUUUUGACUUUGACAAAUAACUCUAUUUUCUACUUGACCUUGGACUUCUUUUGCUGCGUACAUUUUCUACUGUUCUUUGCGCUUUUUGUCUAUCAUCAAAACGAAUUAACGAUUCUAUCAUAUUCCCCCUUUUUGAUGAAGACAAACAUGUAACGUGUGAUGCAUGCGCAAAUAACUCUUCCCCCUUUUGACGAAUCAAAAAGACAUAAGCAGCGGCGAAUCAACACUAAUCAAUAUCCAUAGUAACAAAAUACGCCCAGCCAGGUGAGCAAUGUAAAUUGUUCUGGCAACAAAACAAGAAACAACAAUACAGAGUGAAAACAGCUAAGAGAACCAGGUUCAGACAACAUGCUUUAUCACUGUGGAGGCUGACCAGGCUUAGUUGAACAACAAUAGCAUUGUUAGCAAGUUGCUGCUGCACCAACUGAUCCUUCAACCUGUGUAUUUCAGCAUUUGAGGAAUCGAGCUCAGCACGUAACUUCUAAUUGUCUGAUUCAAGAGAGGCGUUCUUUUCUUCAGCUACUUUAAGCUCCCUAAGUAACUGAGCAACAGGACCAGAUGUACGUGGAGACGCUGUUGCAACCUGCUCUGACUCCAUAGGAAUGCCACAAUCAGCAAGGAUAGUUUGAGUGAACAUGUCUGCACGAGUUAAGAUCCUGCCUUCACCCAGUGGUACUUCAAAAGCAUCAAACACCCUAGUCAAUAGGUUGCCAAAGGCUAAAUGAUGGGAGCCUAACUGAGGAUCCACAAUUCUAGCAAGAUGUUUAAUAAUCAAUGUAGGCCAAUCAAUGCGCUCUUUGCACUCAAGUGCACUCAUAAGUCCCAUGUCUCGUAUGGAGGCAAUGUGACGUUGGUGACCUCUAGGCAGUAUCACCUUAUGAACUAUCUCAAAAAGAAGCUUAUGCAAAGAUCGCAUUAUUCCCUUUAAAACAGUUUGAGCCCUGUAAUUGACUCUACCUUGCGAGAAUCGAGCUGGCAGACUUGAAUACUCAUCAAAACUCCAAUUAUCUCAUUUAUACCUACAGAUGGUAUAUGCAAUAUUUCCCCAAGCUUGGUUGCAUCAAACACAAUAUCAACACCCUUUACACUAGACGACACCACAUCUCCUUCUAAGAUUACCAAAUUUGUAUAGAAAUCGACCACUUCCUUUUCAUAAAUCAAACUAGGUUCUAGAAAUAACUCCUCCCACCCUUGAAACCUUAGAAGUUCACAGACCUGCUUCACUAAAUCCAUUGACAGUAUAUCAGGAUGAAAGAUUCUACCCCUAAGCACUAAUUUGGUUUGGAAGUACUUUUUCCUUCCCACUUUUAGAAAUUUAUCUGCAUUUCUUUUCACAGAUUUUGUUUUGGAUUGAGGGGUUGCAGAAUGUUUUCCCUCAGACAGAGCAUCAGUAUCAGAAGCAAGAUCCAUUGGAGAGACUGAUGAAGGGACAGGGGACUUACCCAAACGUCGAUGCUUCACCCCAGAUGUUGUAUCAGCAGCUAGCUUGACCGCAUGCGCACUCCUUGUUACUGGCCUGUGUGGACGAGCUUGUUUGACGACAAUAUGCUUUCUUGGCCGCCGUGGUUUUGUAGGGUGAAGGGAACUCAAAAGAAUAUCAUCAUGGGUGUGAGAAGGUGAUGGGUUUUGAGGAGUGGUUUGGUGAGAUGGUGAAGAAGGGGGGAUGGUUGGGACAGUGGUUGUGGGAGAUGUUGGGUUUGGUGAAAGUAGGGUUUCGUGAGCUGGUGAUGCUGGAGUUUCUUGGACUGGUGAUGGGGAAGAUGCGAUGAUGGGUGGUGAUGGGGAGUUAGUAACGACAGGUAACGAUGCUCCUUUAACUGGUGAUAAUGAGGGGGUUACUUGUGGUGGUGGAAAUGUAGCUUUUGGUGGUGGAGAUGGAGUUUUUGGUGGUGGUGAUGGAGCUUUUGGUGGUGGUGAUAAAGAUGUGGUUGGGAGUUGGGUUUCGUCCCCAAGAUCGGGCACACCAUCAACAACUUGGUUUUCUUCCCCCUGAAGAGAUGCACUAUCAGACGAGCUGCCGUCAUCGGAGUAAGCAACAAGUAGAUUAGUCAUGGUUAUGGAAGGGAUUGUGGUUUCUUGGUUUUUUGGAGAUUGAAGAUGAGAGAGGGAAGGUUGCUAGUUUAGAGAGAGUGCUUUAUUGGGGGUGGGUUUAGUGUGGUAAUCAAGGGAUUGGAGUAAUGAUGGGGGAUUGACAUCGAGGGGACGUGCACCGUGACGGUUGCACCUGCUUGUCAGGGGGCAUGGGAGAGAGAAGAUGAAAUUGAUUUCCCUUUUUUUUUAAAUAUAUAAUUUUUUUUUAAAAUAAAGAUUAUGUGGAACCAUCUUGACAGAACCUGGUUUAUACCUCAGUAGAACUUGGUUGGGCAUGGUUCAUUCCAAGAAGAUGAGCCCUAACUCAAGUCUAUUUUUCUUAAAUAACUCUCUUCCUAGUGCCUUGGUGAAGAUGUCCGCAACUUGAUUCUCAGUUUUGCAGAACUCCAUAAUUAUGUUUCCUUUUUCAACAUUAUCACGAAGAAAGUGAUGUCUAACAUCUAUGUGUUUGGUGCGCUUGUGUUGAACUGGAUUUUUGGCCAUUGUUAUAGCACUUGUGUUAUCACAUAGAAUAGGAAUACAAUCUGUUUCUAUGCCAAAGUCUUUAAGCUGCUGUUUUAUCCAAAGAAGUUGGGCACAACAAGAAGCAGUUGCAACAUACUCAGCCUCUGCAGUAGAUAGAGCCACGGAAUUUUGUUUUCUUGUUGCCCAGGAUAUCAAACAUGGUCCUAAGAAGUGUGCCAUCCCAGAAGUACUUUUUCUAUCAACCAUGUGUCCUGCAUAAUCAGCGUCAGCAAAUCCCUUUAGAUCAAAAGAAUCACCAGUUGGAUACCAUAGAACCAGGUUUAUUGUACCUUUCAAAUAUCUCAGGAUUCUCUUGACAGCUUUUAGAUGUGAUUCCUUUAGACACGACUGAAAUCUUGCACAUAGACCAACACUAAACACUAUAUCAGGUCUGCUGGCAGUGAGAUAUAGGCGUGAUCCAAUCAUACCUCUAUAUCUAGUGUCAUUGACUGGUGAACCUGAUUCAUUUUUAUCGAGCUUUGUUGUUGUCCCAAUGGGAGUAUCAUUAGUCUUCGCUUCAUUCAUAUCAUACUUCUUCAGUAAUUCCUUGAUGUACUUUUGCUGAUGAAUUGAUGUUCCAACUGGAGUUUGCUUAAUUUGGAGUCCCAAGAAGAAAUUCAAUUCUCCCAUCAUACUCAUCUCGAACUCACUAUUCAUUAGUUGAGCAAAUUCUACUCCUAGUGAGUCAUUGGUUCCUCCAAAUAUAAUGUCAUCUACAUAUACUUGGACUAUGAACAGAUCUUUACCUUGUUUUCGAAGAAACAGUGUAUUGUCAAUCUUUCCUCUUGUAUAUCCAUGUGUGAGAAGGAAGGUAGACAAUCGAUUAUACCAUGCUCUUGGUGCUUGUUUCAACCCAUAGAGUGCUUCCAGUUUGUAUACAUGAUCAGGAUAUCUGGUGUUUUCGAAACCUGGAGGUUGUUUUACAUACACCUCUUCUUGUAGGUAACCAUUUAAAAAGGCACUUUUGACAUCCAUUUGGUAGAGUUUAAACUCCAUGUGAGCAGCAUAUGCAACCAGUAUUCUAAUUGCCUCAAUUCUUGCUACUGGUGCGAAGGUUUCAUCAUAAUCUAUACCUUCUUCUUGGUUGUAUCCCUGUACAACUAGUCUAGCUUUGUUGCGCACUAUUUGACCUUGCUCAUCGAGCUUGUUUCUAAACACCCACCUAGUUCCUAUUACUGUUCUGUUUUGGGGCUUUGGAACCAGGUUCCACACUCUGCUUCUUUCAAAUUGGUUGAGUUCUUCUUGCAUAGCACCAAUCCAUUCAGAGUCCAGCAAUGCUUCCUUUGUAUUUUUAGGCUUAAUCAGGGACACAUAGGCAGAGAAUGCACACAUACUACGUAGUUUGGAUCUUGUAGAUAUCCCUGAGUUAAGAGGAGUGAGAAGAUUUUGCAGAGAGUGAGAGCUUUGAUGUUUCCAAUUAUGAGUAGGAAUACUUACUACUUCUUGAGGUGCAGAUGAACCAGUUUCAUUAGCAGACUUAUCUCCUAUUUCAGAUGUUUUGUCAGAUGGUAUGGGUUCUUUUUCCCGUGUUUUUGGGUCUGACGGCUUGGAGCAGGUUCCCUCAUCUUGUUCAUCCUCUGAAUUUCCUUCAACUUCACUAGUAUGUUCAUUAAAGACAACAUGGACACUUUCUUCUACACAAUUUGUUCUUUUAUUCAGUACCUUGUAGGCCUUGCUUUGUGAUGAGUACCCCAGAAAGAUUCCUUCAUCACUCUUGGCAUCGAAUUUUCCCAAAUUGUCUUUGUCAUUGUUGUGUAUAAAACAUACACAUCCAAAGGCCCUAAGAUGUGCUAGAUUUGGUUUUCUUCCUUUUAGUAGCUCAUAUGGUGUUUUGUUUAACACUGAUCUGAUCAUACAUCUAUUUAUUAGAUAACAUCCUGUAUUUACUGCUUCAGCCCAAUAGAAUUUUGGGAGCUUGCUUGAGAUUAACAUUGUUCUUGCAAUAUCUUCCAGUGUUCUAUUUUUCCUCUCAACAACACCAUUUUGUUGUGGUGUUCUAGGUGUUGAGAAGUUAUGCUCAAUCCCAUUUGUAGUACAAAAUUGUAGGAAUUGUGAGUUCUCAAACUCCAGUCCAUGAUCAGAUCUGAUGCUGAUGAUUUCUUUGUUGAAUUUCUUCUGAACCAGCUUUGCAAAAGCUUCAAACAUAGUGAAUGUCUCGUCCUUUGUUGUAAGAAACAAUGUCCAAGUGAAUCUUGAGUAGUCAUCAACUAUUACAAACACAUAUCUUUUUCCACCCCUGCUUUGUACACGCAUUGGUCUAGACAAAUCCAUGUGAAGCAAUUCCAGUGGCUUAGUAGUACUUACUGUCAACUUUGGUUUGAAGGAUGACCUAACCUGUUUUCCUUGAAUACAGGUUCCACAUACUUGGUUGUCCUUGAAACUUUUGGUUGGCAGUCCCUUAACCGGGUCUUUAGAUAUGAGUUUGUUUAUAGUUGUCAUGCUAAUGUGUCCCAUUCUUUUGUGUCAUAGCAUGGAGCAAUCUGAGACUGCACUCAGACAUUUAAGAUUAUCUUCCUUGGAGUCACCAGUCUUGACUUUGUACACAUUCUUGUGUCUCUUUCCUAGUAGAACCAGAUUUCCAGUCACUGAGUUUGUUACUCUACAUUCUUUUUCUAUAAAGAGAACGUUGUUUCCUUUGUCACAUAUUUGCGAUACGCUCAAAAGAUUAUGUUGUAGACCAUUUACAUAAUAUACAUUCUCAAUUGCAUAAGUAUCCAUUGUUCCAACCUUUCCAAUUCCUUGAAUUUCUCCAUUUUUACCAUUUCCAAAGGCAACAUUUCCUCCUUUGAUGUUCUUGAGUGAGAGGAAGCUUCUUUUAUCUCCAGUCCUAUGUCUUGAGCAUGCAUUAUCCAAGUACCAUUGUUGCUGCUUCCUCUUCACUGAUCCCUGCAAUUUAUUGUUGGAUUUUAGAUUUUGGUACCCAAAUCCACUUUGAUUUAAGCUUAGGGAAUGGGUGAAUAAGAUUUCUUCUGGCCCAUCUAGGAAGAGACUUGUCUAUAAAGAUUUGUUUUUGCUCAUUGGGUUUAUCAUGAUGAGGUUUUCUCAAGGAUUUCAAGUUUUUGUUAUGGGCAGUUUGUUUCUUUUGACAAUCAUGACUUUUAUGUCCUACCAGUCCACAGUGCAUGCAUAAACAGUCUAUGUUGGGAAUUUUUACUUGAGAGCUGGUUCUAUCAAAACCUAUCCCAUGUUUCUCAAAUGUGCGAUUCUUGUGAAUGUUGUCAAGCAGUAUGGAGGACCUGGUCCAUCUCAUUCCAUUUUCUGCUUCAGUUUUAGUCACAAGAAGCUCUUUGGAGAGUGUUUCAUUCCUUUUAAUUACCAGUUCUAGAUUUUUACUUAGUUUGGUAUUCUUGGAUAAAAGAUGGAGAUUCUGUUUUUCAAGACUCUUGUUUUCUUCUCUUAGUGAUGCAUAGUCUUCCAUUAUCAGUUCCUUUUUUGAGUCUAUGGUUUUAUAUUCAUCAAUGAGAGUGUAGAGUAAGGAUUCUAGCUCUCUUUUUGAGUAUGAACCUAGAUUUUCUUGUAAGUUAUGAAGAAUGACCUUUUCAUUUAUGUCUUCUUCUUCUUCUUCUUUUUCAGAAUCUGAUCCAGCCAUAAGUGCUAGUAUGGUUUCUUGUGAUCUGCCAGUUUCCCUUUCUUCCUUGUUUUCCACUGCUACAAGUGCAAGAAAGUCAUAAUCAUCUUCUUGUUCUAGUGCAAGAAGAGACUGAUUUUCUAUCUCAUCAUCCUCAAACUCUUCAUCAGAUGAAUUCUCCAUUGCUGCAAAAGCCCUCUUCAUUGACAUGUCUGCCUCUUGAAUUGUCAUUCUUCUGUUUGAGGGGACAAACUUAUCCUUUUUGAUAUCUUUCCCUUUCUCAUAGUUUACCUUUUUUUGUUCUACGGCCCAGGGUGGACAGAAUUUGAUGAAGUGAUCUGGGCUCCCACACUUAUGACAAACCUGGUCUUUAGUGUUUUCAGAUUGUUUUUAAAAAGCUUUCUUUUGAAAGGGUUGCCCUCUCUUUAGCAUUCUGGUGAACCUUUUGGUUAUGAGGGCAAUGUUUUCAUCUUCAAAAUCAUCUGAUGCAGUAGCCUUUAGAACCAGGUUCCUUUCCUUUCUUUUUCCUCCAAUUUCUUUUUCUUGGUUUUUCUUAAGUUCGUAAAUAAUGACAUUACCAAUUAACUCAUCCAUUCCCAGUGAGUCUAGGUCGCGGGCUUCAGUGAUAGCCUCGACUUUGCUUUCCCAGGUUUCAGGAAGGAUACUCAAGAGUUUCCUUACUGCUUUUCCAUUAGGCACUAUCUCUCCUAAAGAGUACAUUUUAUUGAUGAUGGAGGUGAACCUGGUGUGCAUAUCUUGAAUAGUCUCUCCUUCUGCCAUCCUGAACAGCUCAUAUUGCCUGUUCAAGUUACCAAUCUUGGACUUCUUGACUUGUGUUGUUCCCUCAUGAGCUAUCUGCAGUGUUUCCCAUAUGGCUUUGGCAUCUUGACAUGACGAAAUUCGAUUGUAUUCGUCUGGUCCUAUGCCACAUAUCAGAAUUUUCUUAGCUUUGGCAUUGUUUUGAAUUGCAAGCUUGUCUUCAACAUUCCAUUCCUUUCUUUCCUUUGGGAUUUUGGUGAUUCCAUCAGUUGCUGUUUUCAUAGGUAUGGUUGGGCCAUCUAGAAUUACUCUCCACAGAUCAGGGUUUUCGCCAAUAAGAUGGUCCAUCAUACGAUUUUUCCACCAUCCAUAAUAUUUGCCAUUAAACAGUGGUGGUCGUGUUUGUGAAGCUCCUUCUUGUGGGGUAGGUGGUGCUGCCAUUGAAUCUUUUCAAGGUGUGAAUCUUUUAACGAAAAGACCCGCUCUGAUACCAAUUGAAGAAACCUUACCCCAGAACACGAACCAGGUUCGUGUAAGUUGCUUUUAAGUAAAGACAGAAUAGAAACACAAACACUUAUUGAAUUAAAAACCUUCCUCACUCAAGAACGUUUUUUACGUGGCAGUCCUAUCAAUCUUGAAGACCUCAGUUUGAUGAUUAAUUGCCUCUUGUUCUCUGCGUGAAGUGGUAGAUCUUUUCUCUGCCUCGUGUGCUUCUUAUUGAGUUUUGUCCUUGUAUAAUCCCUACUAAUAAGGUAAGAAAGUUAUGUUUAAACAAGGAUUCUUUUUUAAAUUAGAAUCCUUAUUAUACACUACUUCCUUCCUUAAUAAUAUAUUUAAGGUUUUCCUUAUUUAUAUUGACUUGUACCUUUAAUAUAUUAUUUUGACUUUGACAAAUAACUCUAUCUUCUACUUGACCUUGGACUUCUUUUGCUGCGUACAUUUUCUACUGUUCUUUGUGUUUUUUGUCUAUCAUCACAACGAAUUAACGAUUCUAUCAUAGUAUUAGAGAACUUCUAACUUUCAUUAUUUCAUUAGCACUUGAACUAUUCAAUAGAGAAUCUAAAGUUUUUCAAGGUUCUCUUUUGCGAACUGUGUGUCGCUUUUGCGACAUGUGAGAUCCCUUCUGACCUGCCGUUUCGUUAGACAUUUAGACUUGCUUCAGUGUGUUUAAAUGUUCUAGUUUUUGUUAGGUCGUAGAAAUGACACUCCCACCAGAGGGUUAGUGUGGAUGUCAAUCACGAACAGUCUGAAUCGUGCCACACAUUUAAUUUUAGAGAAUUGUGUCAAAAGUUUUUUAUAUAUUUGAAACUUCAUGUCUAAUCAAAUUAAAAAAUAUAAAAUAAAAUAAGUGAAAUAUAUUUAGGCUUUUUUUUUAAAGAAUUAACUUUAGGCCACAUAUUUUGUUGAGUCGCCCCAGACUUGUAGUUGGUUUGUAGAAAUGUCAAUGAUCACGGGAAUAGUUAAUACUCUAAAAGCAUAUUAAAUUUCCAAUAACUAUAUUAUAGAGCAUGAAUGCAUGCAAACUAUUGGAUGGAGCUCCUUUCUAAUUUUAGUCAAAUUCUUAUUUAAAUUGAAUACAUGUAAUAUAAAUUAAAAUUAAUGGUAAUAUAAUUAAAUUAGGGGCACAUUGGAGGUGAGUGGAGUCCAAUAUUAAUUUUUGUUUCUUAAACCAGGUUCGUUAUUCGUAUUAAAGUUUGUCUAUUUUAAACUCAUAUCACGUAGAAUCCUAUUAAGAGGGAAGGGUCUUGUAUCAAGAAUUUUUCCAUACUCAGAGCUCAAACUCGAGAUCCAUUUCCGGUCCUUUGGUGGUGGCUAAUACUAAUUAUACUACUACAGUAGUACUACUUAAUGCUUCCUUAACAUUUUCAACGUGUAACUAUUCAUGCAUUACCAAUUAAUCAAGAUGAGCAGACAAUAAUUGACUAAGUUCAUAUAUGCUACUAAUCUAAUAUUUAAGUUGAAGUAAUAAUAUCUAAAAAUAGUUUCAAGUGCAACAGUAGUAGAAUUUAGUAUAAAUAGCCAUGGUUAGAUGCACAUCAUCAUCAUAAGAAAUAUAAACUGCUUGAUUAAUAUUCUCUAGAUUUGAAUAUGGCUUCCAAAACAAUUGCAAGUCAGUCUUCAGUAACCCUUUUCCUAUCACUGAAUCUCCUGUUGUUUGCUGUUGUAAGUGGAACCAAUGAUACUGGAAAUUGCGUUGGUUCUCAACAAACAUGCUCAAUAGAUACUUUGAAACUUGGUGUGUGUGCUAAUAUACUUAAUUUGGUGAAUGUAAUAGUCGGGUCUCCACCAACUUUGCCAUGCUGCAGUUUGAUCCAGGGACUGACGGACCUAGAGGCCGCGGUUUGCUUGUGCACAGCCAUAAAAGCAAAUGUGCUGGGAAUUAAUUUGAAUGUACCACUCUCUCUGAGCCUCAUACUAAACACAUGUGGAAAGAAAUAUCCUACUGGCUUCACUUGUUAAACUACGUAUCCUCCACUCUGCCUCAUUAAUUUCCAAGGGGUUAAUAAAUAAAUAAAUAAAUGUAUCGUCGUGCUUAUGAAAUUAUUAUGCACGUACGAACCUUUUUAAAAAAAAAUUUAAAUAAGUGAACUUUGCAUAUGCAAGUUCUCAUCUUCCUAUGUUACAUUAAUAAUACUAUCAAAUUAAUAAAUAAAACUACUCUUUAUCACCUCUCCAUGCUCUUCGUAUAUUCGUACUAUAAUAUUAUAAACUCUACUUUUUGAAGAAGCCAUAGCUAGGGGAAAUCUGCAUAGAUAUCACUUAAUAAUCAUUUAUCAUGUGUAAUACUUGCUUACAAAUGCCCUACUAUUAUUUAAUUGACACGUGCUAACAUAAAUUGCCUAUUAUUAUUUAGCUUAUUUAUAGCAACCAUGUAUUUCUAAUGAUUUUUCUUUUAUGAAUCUUAUACAUAAGUUAAUUUAAUUAAUUAUCUACAUACCUUAUAUUAAAGCAGCAUCUUCAAAAGUAUGUUAGUCGACUUGUAUAAUAGCAUCUCGCACCUUACAAAUUUUGCUUAUAGGAAUUUUUUUUUGCAUAAAACAUGUAGUAUACAUAGCAUGCCUAUAGGGAAAAUUUACAAUGCAUUUUCUGUCUGUUUAGUAAUCAUGCCUAUAUGGCCAUUUAAUUAAAUUGAAUUCGUUUUCAUAUGAUCGACAAUAUACAUUAAGACAGUCCCAAUAAUCUUUUGGUUUAUCCCAUUAUGUGUUUAUGCAUUUUAAAAGUAAUUUAUUAAUCACGCCUACAAGAAUUAAUAUCAUUUAAGCUCUCCUUAGAUAUCUUGUUUUUAGAUUUUAAUGGCUAACAUGUCUUUAGUAUUGUAUAGCAACAGACUUAAGUCAUACGUGUUUCCUUAAAGUUAUUUGCAUAUUUUAUUUAAAUAACUCAAUUAUAGGUUAUGCCUAUUGAACAUCUCAAUUGUUCAAAAGUCAUUCCUAUUGGACACAAAAUAGUGACAUCACAAAAAAACGUGUGGUUCGCUACUAUCAAAAUAUAUUUUUUUUAACUUAUACCACUAAACUAAAUUUUUUUAAAAAUAAUAAUUAACAAAAAUAAAAGAAGAAGGAAGAGUCAUCGUCUUCCCCACCCCAAUAUUUCCUUCCCUGCAACUUUUUUCAAUUUCUCAUCCUCCAUUUUCAUCCUCUGUUUUACAUACAUGCUCAACCCUCCCCAUUCUCUGCACCCCAUUUCGGUGAAUCUAUAUUUAUUUCAAUGAGAAAAAUAUGAAUUAAUUUUUCAGCUAAAAGUUUGUUAUUAUAUUUUGCAAUUUUGAUAAAUAAUUACUAAUGGUAAGAAGAUGAAGACGAUGAGUAACAGAUUUGAUGCUAUCAAUAUGAAGAAAACUAAUAUUCCCUCCGUUUCAAAAAGGAUGAUUUAGUUUGACUUGGAGUUUAAAAAAAGAAAGAAAACUUUUUAAUCUUGUGGUUCUAAAUUAAAGUUAUGUCAAAUAUACCAAAAUGUCCUUUAAUCUUGUGGUCUUAAACAUGUCACGUGGAAAGUUAAAGUUAAAGUGUUGCAUAAAAGGAAAGGAGUCAUUCUUUAGAAACAAACUAAAAAAUAAAUAGACAUUUUUUUUUGAAACGGAGAGAGUAAGUUCAAGUAUUAGCUAAUUUCUAACUUUCAUUAUUUCACUAGCACUUGAACUAUUCAAUAGAGAAUCCAAAUUGCAUCUUUACAUAGAAAUCAUAACGGAUAAAACUGAAUGAAGGAGAAGAAAGAGGUAGGGAGAUGAUUUGCUUGAGUUAAUACUAUGGUCACUAAAUUAUGUGUUCAAGUUUCAAUUUUACUUCAAAAGUCACUUAACUAUGCACAUUUCUCUCAUAAAGUCACUCAACUUUUAGUUUUAAUUCAAAAGUCACUCAACUAUUCACUCUUCUCUCAAAAAGUCACUCAAUUUAUUUAAUUAUUUUUAAUUAAAAUUUAUUUAUAACAAAUCAAAAUUUUAAAAAAUAAACAAUACCAUUUAAACAAUGCAAUGACCCGUUCUACUUGACCCGACCCACUAAAAUAUAAUAUUGACCCAUUUUAUGACUAUUUCUCCUCGGCGUUUUUUUUUCUUUCUAAAAGAGGAAGAAGAAAAAUUAUUUGAACAACAUUUAUUUCAAGGAAUGGGUACUCUGUUCAGAGAAGGAACAAGAUUCAUGACUGAUUUAAAUGUAAUUCAUGUAAUUGAAUCUAUAUGUUCAGGAACUGAAAUCAUUCACAAAAACUCAUUAACAGGUCCAAAAUUAGCUCAAAAUUCGAUAUUUUGUUCAUUCUUUUUUAAAACACCAUUGUUGAAGAAAACACCUCGACUUUUAAACUCAUCAAUUUCUAUGAAUACAAUUAUACCACUUUCGACUCAACCCAUAAUCAAGUGAAUACAAGUGAAGAACCCAUCUGGGGUCGCAAAAAACAGAGCAAUUUCAUUGACCAAGACAACAACAGUACUAAGUCAAUUCAAUUGAGUUAUCAGGUUUACGCUGAUGAACUUGAUCCAAAAAGUUCAUUAUCCGAGUUUAUGGAUCAUGUUCCAAUGAAUUUAAGAAGAUGGGCUUGUUAUCCAAUGUUAUUUGGUUGAAUCAAAAGAAAUUUCAAGCAUAUAAUAUUGGAGAAAUUCCAAUGUUAAUGAAUUUAAUAAAAGAGGAAGAAGAAAAAUCAAUAGAGAACUAACAUAAAACGGAGGAGAAAGAGUCAUAAAAUGGGUCGAUAUUAUAUAUUUAGUGGGUCGGGUCAAGUGAAGCGGGUCAUUAAAUGGUUAAAUGCUAUUUUUUAUUUUUCAAUAUUUUAAUUUGUUAUAAAUAAUUAAUAUCAACAAAUUUUAAUUAAAAAAAGGGAAAGGAUCUGAUAUAUCCCUCGUUAUGAAAGUUGUUCAUAUAUGUUUAUACAUUUUAAAAGUAAUUUAUUAAUCGUGCCUACAAGAAUUAAUAUCAUUUUAUAAGUUCUGCUUAGAUAUCUUGUUUUUAGAUUUUAAUGGAAGCAUGUCUUUAGUAUCAUAUAGUACCAGACUUAAAUCGUAUAUGCGGCUCCUUAAAGUUAUCCGCAUAUUUCAUUUGAAUACCUCAAUUGUAGGUUAUGCCUUUGAACACUUCAAUUAUUUAAAAAUCAUUCCUAUUGGACAUAAAAUACUGACAUAACAUAAAAAUUAUGGUUUACUCUCUUUAAGUGCGUAAAACUAUCAAAAUAUUUUUUUUCUUUUUUUUCUAACAUAUACAACUAAAAUAAUUUUUUUUUAAAAAAUAAUUAACAAAAAUAAAAAAAUAGAAGGAUGAUUCAUCGUCUUCCCCACCCCAAUAUUCCCUUCCCUGCAACUAGUUUCAAUUUCUCAUCCACCAUUUCCAUUCGUCUUUUUACGCACAUGCUCAACACACCUCAUUCCCUGCACCCAUUUCGGCGAAUCUAUAUUUAUUUCGAUGAGAAAAAUAUGAACUAAUUUUUGGGAUAAUAGUUUGUUAUUAUAUUUUGCAACUUUGAUAAAUAAUUACUAACAGAAAGAAGAUGAACAAUGAGUAACAAAUUUGAUGCUAUCAAUAUGAAGAAAAACAAUUGGUUCUAGUAUGAAGAAACCUUACCCCAGAACACGAACCAGGUUCGUGUAAGUUGCUUUUAAGUAAAGACAGAAUAGAAACACAAACACUUAUUGAAUUAAAAACCUUCCUCACUCAAGGAAGGAAAAACCUCGUUUUAUUAAUUCAACUAUAAGAUUUUGUGAUUACAACUCAAUAAUCAAAAGUCUUAUCUCUACUACUCCCUCGAUUGACUCCAAUCGAUCUCUCCAAAAGGCCAAACCCACCUUUUGUUACAACUCUUACUAACACUCAACCCUACAAAGAGCCAAACCCACCCUUUGUACAAUAAACUGUAAAUUACAAUUAAGAACAAAAACAAGACAAAUAGUUCUUCGCGAUAAAACCUUCUAACUCAAGAACGUUUUGUACGUGGCAGUCCUAUCAAUCUUGAAGACCUCAGUUUGAUGAUUAAUUGCCUCUUGUUCUCUGCGUGAAGUGGUAGAUCUUUUCUCUGCCUCGUGUGCUUCUUAUAGAGUUUUGUCCUUGUAUAAUCCCUACUAAUAAGGUAAGAAAGUUAUGUUUAAACAAAGAUUCUUUUUUAAAUUAGAAUCCUUAUUAUACACAACUUCCUUCCUUAAUAAUAUAUUUAAGGUUUUCCUUAUUUAUAUUGACUUGUACCUUUAAUAUAUUAUUUUGACUUUGACAAAUAACUCUAUUUUCUACUUGACCUUGGACUUCUUUUGCUGCGUACAUUUUCUACUGUUCUUUGCGCUUUUUGUCUAUCAUCAAAACGAAUUAACGAUUCUAUCAUAUUCCCCCUUUUUGAUGAAGACAAACAUGUAACGUGUGAUGCAUGCGCAAAUAACUCUUCCCCCUUUUGACGAAUCAAAAAGACAUAAGCAGCGGCGAAUCAACACUAAUCAAUAUCCAUAGUAACAAAAUACGCCCAGCCAGGUGAGCAAUGUAAAUUGUUCUGGCAACAAAACAAGAAACAACAAUACAGAGUGAAAACAGCUAAGAGAACCAGGUUCAGACAACAUGCUUUAUCACUGUGGAGGCUGACCAGGCUUAGUUGAACAACAAUAGCAUUGUUAGCAAGUUGCUGCUGCACCAACUGAUCCUUCAACCUGUGUAUUUCAGCAUUUGAGGAAUCGAGCUCAGCACGUAACUUCUAAUUGUCUGAUUCAAGAGAGGCGUUCUUUUCUUCAGCUACUUUAAGCUCCCUAAGUAACUGAGCAACAGGACCAGAUGUACGUGGAGACGCUGUUGCAACCUGCUCUGACUCCAUAGGAAUGCCACAAUCAGCAAGGAUAGUUUGAGUGAACAUGUCUGCACGAGUUAAGAUCCUGCCUUCACCCAGUGGUACUUCAAAAGCAUCAAACACCCUAGUCAAUAGGUUGCCAAAGGCUAAAUGAUGGGAGCCUAACUGAGGAUCCACAAUUCUAGCAAGAUGUUUAAUAAUCAAUGUAGGCCAAUCAAUGCGCUCUUUGCACUCAAGUGCACUCAUAAGUCCCAUGUCUCGUAUGGAGGCAAUGUGACGUUGGUGACCUCUAGGCAGUAUCACCUUAUGAACUAUCUCAAAAAGAAGCUUAUGCAAAGAUCGCAUUAUUCCCUUUAAAACAGUUUGAGCCCUGUAAUUGACUCUACCUUGCGAGAAUCGAGCUGGCAGACUUGAAUACUCAUCAAAACUCCAAUUAUCUCAUUUAUACCUACAGAUGGUAUAUGCAAUAUUUCCCCAAGCUUGGUUGCAUCAAACACAAUAUCAACACCCUUUACACUAGACGACACCACAUCUCCUUCUAAGAUUACCAAAUUUGUAUAGAAAUCGACCACUUCCUUUUCAUAAAUCAAACUAGGUUCUAGAAAUAACUCCUCCCACCCUUGAAACCUUAGAAGUUCACAGACCUGCUUCACUAAAUCCAUUGACAGUAUAUCAGGAUGAAAGAUUCUACCCCUAAGCACUAAUUUGGUUUGGAAGUACUUUUUCCUUCCCACUUUUAGAAAUUUAUCUGCAUUUCUUUUCACAGAUUUUGUUUUGGAUUGAGGGGUUGCAGAAUGUUUUCCCUCAGACAGAGCAUCAGUAUCAGAAGCAAGAUCCAUUGGAGAGACUGAUGAAGGGACAGGGGACUUACCCAAACGUCGAUGCUUCACCCCAGAUGUUGUAGUUGGUUUGUAGAAAUGUCAAUGAUCACGGGAAUAGUUAAUACUCUAAAAGCAUAUUAAAUUUCCAAUAACUAUAUUAUAGAGCAUGAAUGCAUGCAAACUAUUGGAUGGAGCUCCUUUCUAAUUUUAGUCAAAUUCUUAUUUAAAUUGAAUACAUGUAAUAUAAAUUAAAAUUAAUGGUAAUAUAAUUAAAUUAGGGGCACAUUGGAGAUGAGUGGAGUCCAAUAUUAAUUUUUGUUUCUUAAACCAGGUUCGUUAUUCGUAUUAAAGUUUGUCUAUUUUAAACUCAUAUCACGUAGAAUCCUAUUAAGAGGGAAGGGUCUUGUAUCAAGAAUUUUUCCAUACUCAGAGCUCAAACUCGAGAUCCAUUUCCGGUCCUUUGGUGGUGGCUAAUACUAAUUAUACUACUACAGUAGUACUACUUAAUGCUUCCUUAACAUUUUCAACGUGUAACUAUUCAUGCAUUACCAAUUAAUCAAGAUGAGCAGACAAUAAUUGACUAAGUUCAUAUAUGCUACUAAUCUAAUAUUUAAGUUGAAGUAAUAAUAUCUAAAAAUGGUUUCAAGUGCAACAGUAGUAGAAUUUAGUAUAAAUAGCCAUGGUUAGAUGCACAUCAUCAUCAUAAGAAAUAUAAACUGCUUGAUUAAUAUUCUCUAGAUUUGAAUAUGGCUUCCAAAACAAUUGCAAGUCAGUCUUCAGUACCCCUUUUCCUAUCACUGAAUCUCCUGUUGUUUGCUGUUGUAAGUGGAACCAAUGAUACUGGAAAUUGCGUUGGUUCUCAACAAACAUGCUCAAUAGAUACUUUGAAACUUGGUGUGUGUGCUAAUAUACUUAAUUUGGUGAAUGUAAUAGUCGGGUCUCCACCAACUUUGCCAUGCUGCAGUUUGAUCCAGGGACUGACGGACCUAGAGGCCGCGGUUUGCUUGUGCACAGCCAUAAAAGCAAAUGUGCUGGGAAUUAAUUUGAAUGUACCACUCUCUCUGAGCCUCAUACUAAACACAUGUGGAAAGAAAUAUCCUACUGGCUUCACUUGUUAAACUACGUACCCUCUACUUUGCCUCAUUAAUUUCCAAGGGGUUAAUAAAUAAAUAAAUAAAUGUAUCGUCGUGCUUAUGAAAUUAUUAUGCACGUACAAACCUUUUUUAAAAAAAAUUUAAAUAAGUGAACUUUGCAUAUGCAAGUUCUCAUCUUCCUAUGUUACAUUAAUAAUACUAUCAAAUUAAUAAAUAAAACUACUCUUCAUUACCUCUCCAUGCUCUUAGUAUAUUCGUACUAUAAUAUUAUAAACUCUACUUUUGAAGAAGCCAUAGCUAGGGGAAAUCUGCAUAGAUAUCAGUUAAUAAUCAUUAAUCAUGUGUAAUACUUGCUUAAUUUUCAAAUGCCCUACUAUUAUUUAAUUAACACGUACUAACAUAAAUUGCCUAUUAUUAUUUAGCUUAUUUAUAGCAACCAUACAUUUCUAAUGAUUUUUCUUUUAUGAAUCUUAUAUAUACGUUAAUUUAAUUAAUUAGCUACAUACCUUGUAUUAAAGCAGCGGCUAUUAUAUCUUCAAAAGCAUGUUAAUUAAUUUGUAUAUUAAUAGCAUUUCUCACCUCAGAAAUUUUGGUUAUAGGAAUUUUGUUGCAUAAAAUGUGUAGUAUAGAUAUCAUGUCUAUAAGGAAAAUCUACAGUGGACUAUUAUGAUAUAAUAUAUUUGUUAUAAUGCUUUUUCUGUCUGUUUAGACAUCAUGACUAUAUUAGGGUCAUUCAAAUAAAUAAAUCAUCAAAGACAUUCCCACAACUAUUUACAUGUUGUUUAAUUAAGUUGUGCAUGACUUUAAUAACAUUGAUUUUAUUUUUAUAAUUAAUUUAAGUUUUGAGAAAAAGUAUAUUUAAUUAUAAAAUGUAAUAAUACCUUAUCAAUAUAAUUACAGUAAAAUAAUAAGAGAAGUAAUUGUUUAUGCUUCAUUUUUUUGUUUAAUUUUAAUGCUCUAAUUUACUUCAAAUAUAUGCAUUUUCUUUUAAUUUAUGAAGUUGGUGUUGUAUUUCGUUAUAUUGUAAUUACAAUAAGCGGAAUACUAUUCACUUUUGAAUGUAAUAUUAUGUUAAAAAUGAGUUACAAAAUAAGCUAUAAGUGGUUUUUCAAAUUUGAAACAAAAAUUCAAAUUAAACUUGAAUUAUUGACGGCCAAACAUUUUUUUUCUAUGUAAUUAAAAAAGAACAUGAAGUUGCUACAACAAAUUUUCUUUGUCGUUAGUAUUUUUGGUGAUAGAAUUUCAUCGUUGAAAAAUAAUAGAAAGCUAUCAAAUACGACCUUCAUUAUCUUUUAUUUUUUCGCUAUACAAAAAGUAUUUUCUUUCUUUUAGUUCUUAUCAAGAGAUUUUUUCUUUCAUGUUUUACUCUUUACAUUAAAAUUACUUAUUCUCAAAUUGUCUGUCAAAGUUUAAAAUAAAUACAUGAGAAAAAUAAAGCAACAAUGCAUAUCACAUUUUAACGUUAUAUAAUAAAUAAAAUAAAAUUUAAAUAUAAUUAAAAUAUAUACUAACAACGUAUAACUAUAAAAAAUAAUAAUAAUACUAUCAACAUAAUAUAGACAAAAUACACACCAGGGUACCAACCAUCUUACCAAGCUGUAAGACUAAUGGAAUGUAAUUGGUGAAUUUUCAAUGUAUAAAAUCUUUUCAAAUUCAAUGAUAUUAAAUUCUCAAGAAGUCUAGAUGCUUGACUAUGCUUUUCUAUAAUCAAAUUAUAGUUAAAAAACAUUGAAUUUAUGUUAUGUCCCAUCUCUUACUACACAUAGGUGAGCAGGGUGAACUUAGUGGCGGUAAUGUGUUCAUUCGAAGUUAUCGAUAUAAAAGAUAAAUUUCUAUAUAUUUUGAAUUUCUUAAACACAAAACUAGAAAUUGAUUAAGUAGUUUAGAAGUUCAAACUCUAAUUUUAAAUUCCAAACACUUUAUUCUACAAAAUAUUCCCAUACCUUUUAACUUGAGACAAAGCCAUAGAGUUGCAUUCAAAAUUGAUCCAUAUUUACGGUAUGAGGCGUAGAUUUUUGAAAAUUUAUAUUGAAAAUUAAAUUGAAGUAAGGCAAAUCUAUCUAUGAUAGUGACAGUUAAUAACUCUGAAAAGAAUUUGAUCGUUACCACCAAGCCAUUAGAAAAGAGUUAUUAGUUGUAGUUUCAAAAUUUAGUUUAACUACAACUUAUGAUAUUGACUUGGCCAGCGACAUCAUUGACGAGGAUGAUGAGGUUAAUAUGCUAGCCAUAUAUAUUAUUUAAUUAAUAAGCUAAGGUGGCCAGGAUGAGGAUCUCUCAUCUAAGCAACAAAGAGUUGAAAGCAACCAAAGCAAAAAUAAAACACAUGAAAGCAACAUAGUUGGGAUGACAAGAUGAUCAAGGAAUUUAUUUCAAGUCACCUACGAUGUAUCAGAUAAAGCAAAAUCAUAUGACAAUUUCAAUAAUAACACGAUCCAAUAAAUCUUCAAAAGAAAUGAUGAACUAUGAAGUUUUGUUAAUCAUAUUUGAAGAAGAAGACGAGGAAAAUACUUCAGGUUACGUUACACGGGGAAAAACUAUUUCUUUAAUUUCUGCAUAUAUAAAAUGAUGUUUGAGGUUGAUAAAUCAAUUUUAUUCUUAGAUGUUUUAAUUGAUAGUAUCAUCCUAGAACGUAUUAUAAACUUUAUGAUGAUUAUAGAAUAACUAGUUUUCUCGCUCUUAUUUUCUUGAUGCUUAUUAAUUAACUAGCAACAAGGAGAGCCUCCAAAGCAAAGUCAUCAUAGUGGCAUGUGUUUGAGAAUGUUUGAUCAGUUGGUAAAUCAAACACAUAAAAAAAACUUACAACACUACAAAAACACUAAAAUUAUCAACCAAAUACACUGUUUCAACCAAAAAGAAUGAAAAAUAAAACAACCCCAGAAAAACUCCCAACUGAUUUCAGCAUAAUAUAUACAUGCAUAGUUUAGCCUCCAAUGUUAAGUCAUCAUAGUGUUGUAUGUUUGAUCAUCCAGUAAAACAAACAAACAAACAAUGCAAGCUUAUAGCACUACAAAAACACUAAUGUCAGCAAAGAAAAACAUUGUUUCAACCACAAAGAAUGAAAACAAAGGAACCCCAGAAAAACUCCUUAUGUGAUUUAAGCAUAAUAUACCUACAUAGUUUAGCCUCCAAAGUGAAGUCAUCAUAGUGUAACAUAUUUGAUCAUAUAGUCAAACAAACAGACAAUACAAACUUAUAUCACUACAAAAAAACACUAAAAUUAGCAAAGAAACACAUUUUUUCAACCACCAAAACUAUAAAACAAAACAACCCCACAUAAACUCCCAACUGAUUUAAGCAUAAUAUAACCAUUCAUAGUCACUGCAAUUCAAGAACAGCCGAUCAGCUUGAAGCAAUUUCCAAAAAGACUCUUAUCUUUAUGAUAAAUAACCUUUACCCAGAUGAUCAAUAAGUUGAAUUAGUCAAAAAUUUGAAGACCCAUAAUCACUGUUUCCACAAUAAAUAAGAAAAAAUAUGAAAAAAAUCAGUUCUUGGGUACCUAAAAGUGGUGGAGUUUUAAUCGAUCUUUAUCUCUUUUUCUUUAAUUAAAUUACUUUCUUCUUCUUUCUUGAUAAUUCUGCGUUGAAUAUUUACGCAAUAUACACCUAGUUCAGUGUGUUUUACAUAUAAAAAUACAUGAAAAUUAAAGGAUUGCUGAUGAUAGAUAAUGAUGAAAACACAGUAAGAAGGAAGCACUUGGGUGGGGGUGGGGUGGAAGUAAUUAUGUGUAUAAUGAAGUUUUUAAGAGUAAACGAAACAAAUUAUAUGUAAUAAGGUCUCUAUUAUCAUCAUGGUUCGGUUAGGAAUGAGUUAUUUUGGGAUAAAAAUUUUAUUAUAUGUAUAUAAGAUAACUUGUAUCAUUAUUAUAAUAAAAAUAAUAAAAUAAAUAAUUCAAGACUACUUCAUAUUUACAAUCAGAUAUAUAUAAUAAAAUAAUUCUAUAUUUUAUUUUGAGAUUCUUAUACGCUAUUUAUAUUAAAUAAUUUUUAAAUAAUUCGAUGGAAAUAAAAUAAUAUAUAUCUAAAUACAUGAGGUAUAUAAGGUUAAUGAAAUUACUUUGUUAUAAAUAAAUUAUUAUCAUACAUAGUUUUUUUUUGGGAGUACAUGUAUAUGUAAUAAAAUUGGCACAUACAUGUGAUACAAUUGACAAGAAGGUCUGAGAGAGAAAAAUUGAUGUCAAAGCAAUAAACAAAAAUUUAUCAUCAAAAUAAUUAAUAAACACAAAUUUAUCAUCAAAAUAAAAAAAAAAAUUGAUGUGAGAGAAAUGAUUAAAUAUACAUCUAAAAAAAUUGAUGUGAGAGAAAUGAUUAAAUAUACAUCUAUAUAUCUUCUGUGUCAAUUAAAAAUUCUAAAAGAAUAAAAAAAUAAUUUAUAUUCCCCUUUGAUUGAAAGAUAUAUCUAAAUUUUUUUGUGCAAAUGAUAAAAUUAUAAAUAUAACACUUUUAAAACAAAGAAUAUAAUUUUCCUAAAUCGUAUACUUAUUAAAACUUUUUCCACUGUAACAAUAACAAAUCACGAUAAAUAAAAGGUAUGUAAUAAAGUAAAAUCAAUUUCGCUAUGUUUAUAAAAAUUAUAAUUUGAUAUACUUGUCCUACUUGAACCAAAAUGAUAAAACAAAAUGAUUUUUAGAUCUAUGGUUAAUUUAAUGAUUGAUCAAUAAUAAUAAUAAUAAUUUUUGCUUAGAACUGUAGUUUUAUGAACAAUGUAGAAUUAUAACAUAAAAAAUAUACGUACCGAUGAAAGAGAGAGAAAGCGAUUUGCUCAUUGACAGAACUCAAAGAUGAUUCGGCUUCUCUCUCAGAGGCUGUUUAUAUAAGAAAUUUUGUGACCUAAGUAAUUAUUAUUAUCAUUAUUAUUUUUUGUCGUCUAUUGAAUUUUAAGAAUUGAUAUCAAAUCUUAUUUUAAUCUCAUUAGAAAAUGUAACUAAAAUGACGUGUUAAUUAUGACCAAAUUUACUACGCUAAGAUACCCAAACUUUGUGGAAAGUCUAUUUACCCCCUCCCGAGCUAUGAUUGAAGACUAUAUUGAACUAAAUUAUAUAUUUCUAGAUUCUAAGGUGAUGCACAAAAUAUAGUUCACUAUUUUUGAGGGAGUAAAAAAUAAAUUUAUAUAUAUAUAUAUAUAUAACACAUGUUUUUGUUGAAUUAUAAUUAUCCUAAUCAAUUUAUAAAAUAUUGCAUGGGACAAUCGUGCGAAGCACGUGUUCAUAUACUAGUUUAUGAACACGUGCUUCGCACGAUUGUCCCAUGCAAUAUUUUAUAAAUUGAUUAGGAUAAUUAUAAUUCAACAAAAACAUGUGUGUAAUGAGUACUAAAAUGGAACAAUCUCAAAUAAUUAUUAUGACAAUAUUUCUUUUAUAGAACACUAAAUUAAAGAAGACUAAUAGAGAGUAAAUAUAAAAAAACUAAACAUGAAAGAAAAAAUCAGCAUACACAUUGUUCUUUAAGACUUUAAUCAUAACAAUAUAUACAUGGAAAAAGAAUACAAAAUCAGUACAUAAUUUACCGACUUUUUGUCACCUUCUCUCAUAUCCAAUCAAAAUUCAAAAGUCUUCUCCAUCAAGUCAAACAAAAGUAUAAAUCAAAUAGAAAAACGGAAGGUUAUGACUUAUGAAUAUUAAUAAUGAUAAUUCAAUAGGUAAUUAAAUAUAAUCUCUGUCAAUUAGUUUAAACUUAAAUCAUAUAAAUAUUGUUAAAACUUGUAGUGAGAUACACACCAAAACUUGAAAAAAGAAAAUAUAAAUUCAAUUAGCAAAAUAUGAAAUGAAUACAAAAAUCUAUGUACAGAUCAAACUUUAUUAUAUGAAGGGAACUAUAUAAUAAUCAUAUUGGCUUUGUUCGACUGUCUCUAUAUUUGUAUCAUCUCUUAUUAGUUGUGUUUCAUAUAAAAACAUUAUUAGGGGAGGAGAUACUAAAGGUAAAAAAUAAACACCUACUUCAAGAUCAUAAAUGUACUAAGAUUAUAUUAUAACAAAUUCACACAGUAUUAGAGAAUUCAAAUAAAAUCAUAAUUUAUAAGGAGAAAGUGAAACAAUUUUUUAUUCAAAUAGUAUUGGAGAAACUCAAAUUGAGUCAUAUAAUAUAUAAGGAGAAACUGAGAUAAUUUUUAUUCAAACUCAAAUUAUGUAAAAUCUAUUGUAUAUCUAACAAAUCGAAAUCCUCAAUAUAUUGAUAAGAACAGUUGAAUACGGUUACAACCUUAAGAUUCUGAUUGCAAUAAUCAAACUACCAAAUCAUAAUGGAAAUAUUGAAAUAACAAAUAAUUAAAGAUAGAAGAAGAACGGAGAUGACAAACUUUAGACUCUAGAAGAAGAUGAGACGAAAAACAUUUUCUUCAAUAUGCAUAAUCCCUAAAUCAGUGACCGUUGCACCUUUUGAUGGAACCAUUCUCACGUCCACUACUCGACCCGUAUCCCAAAUUAACCUGACCCUAUUGCUUGUUCUAGGCCUAAUAGCCCUUGUCAUCCCAAUAACUACUAGUGUGACAUGGGUAUCCACAUUAGGUUGAACUUAGUUCAUAACGAUAUAUGUCCUAAAACUUUGAUUUAAAGGAGUUGUCAUUAGCUUGAAGCAUGAAAGAUGCGUAAUUGAAAUCAUUAACCUAAGUAAAGCUAACAAAAAUCAAAACAAAAUCAAGAUUAAUAUAACAUAACCACUCCAAAAUACUUCAUAAUCAUCAAGAACUUGCAAAUUUGAAAUAAUCAAUAUUAUAACCUAAAGAAAUGAAUAAGUCUAUAAAAUAUUUUAAGAAACUAAAAUAAAAUUACUUACGCUCUCUUUGAAACUUUAAACCUCAUAUUACAAAUGCACAAUUGAUGUGGUAAUCUUGAUGCCCCCAAAGCUGAGAAAGAAAAUAUGACAAACAUAAAUAUAAUUAGAUGUGAUAUACAUAUAAAUCAUGAAAUCUAAAAUUAAAAUAAUGUGAAUAUUUGUAUUUAUAAAUUUGAAAAAAUCAUCUUUAUUCAAUAUAGGCAAAUGAAGAGACAAGAGUUUUAAGAAACUAAUUAAGUGGGUUUCAAAAACAUAUAAUUAUCUUUUUAUCUUCCAUUUUCUUUAAUGUCUUAAAUUUCACAUUUAAUUGGAUAAUGUAUUUAAAUAAAAAAAAUUUUGGACGUCUUAAAAUAUUGAUUUAGUUCGGAAAGGUCUUAAAAUAAUGUUAAUGGUUGACUAUGAUAAAUAAUGUAAUGUGACUGACUUUUCAUAUUUUCCAGUUUUUUGUGAUUUUUAGCAAGUUUAGAGGUAAUUAAAGUUUAAUAUCAAUUAAUGAGAUGCUAUAUAAUUUUUAUUAUGUAUAGAGAUAAAUUGGUAAUUUAACUUUACACUUUAGAGCUUUCCAGUUAUAAUAAUAUUAGUUUUUGGAAUACGUGCAUUGCACGUGUAUCCCAUGUUAUUUAAUACCAAACAUUUCAAAUGAUAUAAUUAUUUUAGAAUAAUUGAUGCAUUAUACAAUAUUUAAAGGAUAAAAAUGAUGUUUCUGGUAAAACAUUCAACUAAGGUUGCAACUUGCAAAGAUCAAUAUAAUCCGAAGAAUUUCUGAUUGUAUUGAUAAAAAAAAUUCUUUUAAUCAUGUGGGAUACACUAUAUUUAUUGGUAAAAAAAAAGAUUACUACUUCAAUUAUAUGAUUUGUCAAGAUUGUCAAAUAUCUAACACUAUAUUUCCAUACAAAAUGAAAGAAGUUAAUGAAACAAACCAAUAUAUUAAUAAGAAAAAAAAAUGACCAAUGAAUAAAAGAUUACAUAAGAACUAUAAGAUGUGAAAUUAUAAAGUGUAAUGGAUUAAUAUUUUCUAUUCAAUUUAUAAAGAGAGAAAUUGUGUAUAUGAAAGGUUGUGAAUGAAUGUAUUUAAUUGUAGAAGCUAAAAAGUUUAGCAAUUAAAGUCAUUAAGAAGUGAAAAAUAAUAAAUUGUGACAUCUAACCAUGUACUCUCUUCAAUUAAAUAUUGAUAUUGUAUGAAUCUCUCCAUAUGCUCUAACCUCUCUCUUCAUAUGCUCUAAUAUUAAGUUUUUUUUAAUUUAAAACGAUAAUUAUUUUAAGUGCACAAAUUUCAGCAAUUAAGAAAAAAAAUUGUAAUGCUACUCAAUGAUAAUGGCAAAAGGAAUACUCAUAAAUGCACUUCAAAUUAUUACGGUAACAUUUUAGUGGUAUGUAAAAAAAAUUUAUGUUAUAGAACUUCAAUUACUUUUAAUAAUAAUAAUUAUUAUAAUAAUCAAUAAUAAUAAUAUAAUGUUAUUAUUGUAGUAACUCAACUAUAUAGGGUUAUUUUGGUAUUUCAACUUUCAACUUAUAAUAAUAAUAAUAUAAUUGUUAUAAAAUCAAGCUCAUGACAAUAUAAAUAUAAAGAGAUGAAGACAAGAGAAGUAAAAUGGAAGAUAAGACUUUCUUCUUAUUCAAGUGUAUAUUAUAAUGGUGAAUGAUAUCUCUAUUUAUAGGUAGAGAAAUCAACCAAAAGGUCACCAUGUUUAAUGUCACAUUAGUAGAUACAUUUCUAUCCCAAAAAGAUUCAUCACCUUGGGAAUACAUAUCCAUGAUAAGGAUAAGUUUAUGAUAAGCUUAAUGGACAAUCCACUCAAUUCAAUGUAUUUAUAACACUCCCCCUUGGAUGUCCAUAGAUAAUGUGUCUCGUUAAAAUCUUACUAGGAAAAACCUUGUAGGAAAAAAUUCUAGUGAAGGAAAAAGAGUACACAUAUCUUUUGAUACGCACUAUUUGUUGCCUCAUUAAAAACCUUGCCAGGAAAACCCAGUGGGAAAAAACCUCGGUCAAGGGAAAAAGAGUGCAACGCGUAUUAUACUCCCCCUGAUUAAAACAUCACUUAAUUUCUUGUGACGAUGUCUCCAAUCUUCGUACAUUGUGGUUAGUAUAUUCUUUUUUUCAAAGAAAAAUCACACAUUUCUUGAAUAUGGUGUGUCAUUUAUCUCAAUCAGAUGUUUUUUCGACUUGCUUCAUGGAGGACUUUUAUAUCUGCAUAGCAACAUUUGCUUCAUUGAUCGCCAGGAUAUUAUUGUGCCUCCACAUGCAAACACAUAGCGUGCUUGAGAUAGAACUUUAUGCGGAUCAGAUAAAUAUUCUGCAUCUGCGUAAUCAAUAAAUUAUGUCUUGGAUUCCUCGGGAUAGAAUAAACCCAUAACUAUGGUCCUUCGAGGAUAUUCAAUCAUGUGCUCAACACCAUUUCAAUGUCCUUUUAUCGGGGAGAAACUGAAUCUUGCCAGUAAAUUUACUGCAAAACAUAUAUCUGGUCAAAUAUUGUUAGUAAGAUGCACUAGUGCCCUGAUUGCACCAAGAUAGAGUUUCAUCACCAAGAAACUCUUCAUCCUUCUUUUGAGAUCAAACUGAAUCAUCAUUUAUGACAAGUGAUCUCAUAAUCAUUGGGGUACUCAAUGAAUGCGAUAUAUCCACAUAAAAUUGCAUCAAAAUUUUUCAGUGUAUGUGCACUGUUAGACAAAUAUUUUAUUUGUCAAAUUAUCAAUCUGUAGGUCAAGACAAAAUUUUGUCUUACCAAGACCUUUUCAUAAAAAUACAAGGACAAUUAGGGUCAUUCUUUUGUACCCUUUUUCUUCCUUGACUAUUUCAAUCAAUAUAAGGAUUCUUGAAGCUUU